GAAAUUUCAUCAACAACAUAUGAGUGGAUACCAUGGCCUUGAGAUCAUUGAUGCAUAUGCGUCCGAAUAUGACAUUGUAUGCCGUUAGGCAUUCAACCACUAGGAAGUUAGUGGUAAUGGUAGUUGUGUAAGGGCUUGUACCAAUGGUAAAAGGUAAGUGUAUGCUCCCCAAAGGUUGCACGAUAUCACCGGAAAAGCUUAUCAGAGGGGAAAUCGAGCGAUCGAGCAAGUGUUCAGCUACAUUAAGUGCCCUGAAAGCUUCAACAAACAUAAUAUUGACCGAAGCCCCCGUGUCUACCAGGAUUCGUCGUACUUCAAAGUUGGCUAUGUGAGCUUCCACGAUCAGUGGGUCGUUGUGAGGGUAGAUGAUACCUCUUUCUUCCUCAGGGUAGAAACAUAUUGGAUCCCAGUUAGGCUUUUGAUACUUACAUCCCCUGAUGUCUUCCAUGUGAAACACUUGGUGGCAAGACCUUAAAGCUCGUUCAUUAUUUUUCAUGGCCCUGUUGGAAGAUUUAGAUAUGGGUGUGCCACCACUUAUGGAAUAUAUCACAUUUACCUGGCGUUGGUUACAGUUACCCCUUAGAGGGUGAAAGAGGAAUUGAUUAAUUUUUCCUUCAUGUGCCAAAGCUUCAAUAUGAUCACGAAGGGUGAUACAUUUCUCACCGUCAUGGCCGUUAUGCUCGUGGUAGCAGCAAAACGUGCCCGUGUUCUUCGUGGACUUGUAAUCCGGGUGCCUCGGCUUUGGCUUCGGUAUCAAGUGUGCUAUGCUGGGGUAAAUGGCCACGCAUGUGGCAUUCAAAGGUGUGUAUGCCUCAUACCUCGGGGUAGGGGCUAUCCUGACACAUGCUUGACCCACUGUGUUGACUACCUGGGGUUGGGGAUUAUCAUGGCAAUACCCUUGGUUAUCGCGGUAGUGUCCCUUACUUCUUUUAAUAAAAUGAGACUGGUGAGGAUGGAAAUCUUUCCUUUUGCCCUGAGAUUGAUAUGUCUGUUGACUUGGCAAAGUAUUAAGUAAGGCAGGGGGAGGCACCGCUGCCGUUUGGAAGGUCGAGGUCUUCUCAUUUGGUUGGAUCUGGCUUCCACUCCCUACUUGCUGAUAAUGGGUGGCUAUAGGGGGUUUCACUUGAUAUGUCAUUGCCUCGGUAGAGGCAUGGUUGUAAGCAUGUGCCAUCACCUCAGAGUAAGUCUUCCAAGUGUUGGCAUUGAUCAUGUACUUGAAGAAACAGUCACGUAGGCCUGCCGUGAAGGCUUUGAGAGCAGUCUUGUCAUAUGCCUCGGCACAAUAGGAAUACUCAUGGUUGAAAUGGCCAGCAUACAUACGUAAUGACUCGUCUAGCUUCUGGCGAAUAUUGUACAAGUCAUCUGCAGGGUGCAAGCGAUUGGUCUGGAAAAUGUGUUGAGAAAUAAACAAUUUCCUCGAUUCCUCAAAUGAGUCUACCGUCUUAGGUGGAAGAUGGCAAUACCAGCUUAGAGCUCCACCAGAGAGGGUGGAGGGGAAGAGAAGACAUCGCUCUUCGUCGGUAUGCAUCCGGUAUGCCAUAGUGGAUUCAAAAAGGUUAAGGUGUUCAAUCGGGUCCUCAUUUCCAGUAUAAAGUUGCAAGCCAAGCUUCUACUUUGUUUUUUCUUGAAGGGGGUGUCGAGGAUCCUCCUUGUAAGAGGGCCAGGCCUAGGUUGGUUCCAAUCAGGUAUCUCAGCUUGUCGUUAGACCUUCAACUUGUUUACUUCUUUAAGAAGUUGUAGGAUAAGAGGAUCCUGAGUAGAGUUAUGUACCACUGAAGCUUUCUUUCGUAAAUCUCCAUCUCCUCUUCGAAGUAUAAAGGUUUGAUCAAGAGCAUGUGAUUUUUCCCUGGACUCGCCGUACUAACUUCCAAGGUAUGUCUGUCGGAACAUCUCUGAGUCCCCUAUACCUUCGUGUUUCUCUAGGACUUGUUGCCCCUUCCCCAAAUUGGUAGUCGGCCUAGGACAUGGGAGGGGACCGAGUUUUUUUAGAGACCCUUGGGUCAUUGAUCUUCGAGCUUACAUGGAUGAGAUUGUCUCGACGUUGCUUUAGGAAAUCUCGACAGUCGCGAAAGACGGCUUUCAAUCUUUCCAUUCCUUCUGUAAGGAGGUGUCUUCCUCCACUUCUCCUACUUCGGGUCGAAGCAGCUGGGUUGAGAGAAGUCUUAUAUUGAUCAAUGUUUUGAUGAUUAGCUCACUCCUUAUCAGGGAUACCCAUGUCGAAGGAAGGUGACCCUUCGUGUUGUGGGGCACCCAGAUGAUGGUUGAUGUCAACAGAGGUAACGAGCUCGCGUGUUUGAGUACGCCUAGUUUCGUGGAGCGUCUCAAAGAGCUUUUCAUACUGUUCCUAAAUGACCUCAUUCUUCAUUGUUAUCUUGGUGUUCUGAGCUUCUAGCUCAUCGACUUUAGCUUGAAGAGCAGCCCCCUUUCAUUUUUUCUUUCGUUGCCUCGCACCAAGUGCAAGAGGAGUGUCAUUCUGCGUGAUGUGGCUUCCUUCGUUCCCCAUGUUGGAGAGGAAUGCCUGGUCAAAAGAGAGUGUACGAAUGGUGGAAACCAGCUUAACAAAGCUGAAGAGAGUGGGAAUAAGUGUCGUUUCCCACAGACGGCGCCAAAUGUUGAUGCACAAAAUCAGUGAGGACUUUGGUACAACAGAAAAUGUUAAGUUUGUGACCUUUGCUAGAUUGCUCCGGUCACUAGUGUGGAUAAGUAUGUAAAUGGAUGAGGACAGUGAAGCAAACAUAAGAUGUACGUGGUUCACCCAGAUUGGCUACGUCCACGGAGUAGAGGAGUUCUCAUUAAUUGUGAAGGGUUUACACAAGUACAUAGGUUCAAGCUCUCCUUUAGUGAGUACAAGUGAAUGAUUUAGUACAAAUGACAUUCGGAAAUAUUGUGAGAGAAUGAUCUUUAUUUAUAGAAGAGAGUUUUUAGUUUCAUUCUGACAUUGACACGUGUCGUGUUAUGAUUGGCUUCUGAUGUUGACAUGUGUCGCCCUAUGAUUGGCUUCUGAUGUCGACACAUGUCGCGCUGUGAUUGGCUUCCUAGUUGGAGGGAAACUCUUCUGGGUCAUUGACGGUAUAACAUUGACCGGUGCUUAGUAGCUUCGGGAUUGGUCAAGUAUGGUACAAACAAAUACUCUAACAAAAUGACCAAGAAUGUUCAACGUACCUAUAAUUAAAUCAGGAUUGUUCUGAGCAUCAUGCAAUGUCAUAUUGUGGAUACGUCCCUAGCCUGUUGUCGUCCACCACGACCUCUGUUAGCAUGAAUACCUCGUCCUUAUCUUGGCUGACCAGAUUGCCUCGAAGAUCCCACAUUGCUAGCAACAAUCUUUACCUGCUGGGGCUGUCCCUCUGGUACCACUGGGAUCUAUCUGUUGAAUGUGGCUGAGAUGGCAUAGAACCUCCCAGAUACUGUGGGUAACCACCCUGAUAAUGAGGGUCAUACGAAUACUGAUACUACCAUGUAGCAUAAGGAGUGGCGUCCACCUGAUAAUGAUAAGCACCACCACGACCAGUCUGAGCAUAACCACUAGGUCAUGAAGCUUGUUGGAUCGGCGCAGGCGGUGGUAAGAAAGGCUGUUGGGGCCUCUGCUGAUUCUGAGGGCAAUGUGCAACCCUAUGCCCUACCUGUCCAUAAGUAUAGCAUCCAUUGCUGUAUCUCCUACACUCCUCAAAAUGCUUAUUAUUACGUCUACGGCAUAAAUGAGCACUUGAACCACCAAAAUCCCUUUGCCUCUGAAAUCUAGGGCUUCCAGAAAAUCUACCACCUCUCAUAUGUGCAUUAGAGCUCAAACCUCCACUAGAAGAGCUGGAACUGACAUCAUUUCUCUUAAAACUCUUAGUUUUACAAGGUCUCUGAGAUAAUGGACCUUUACUUUUAUCAUCAUUUCUCUGAUUUCCAUCUUUUUCUUCUUCUUCCUCACUCUCAUUGGGCAUAUUCUCUGAAUCCUCAAUCCAUAGUAAAACCUCAUAAAACUCUUGGUAAGUGGCACAGGGAGUCGAUGUCGCUAUAGAACGCCAUUUCUUUUUAGUACCCAACCUAAAGCGACGAAGCAUCUCAACCGAAUUAGCAGCAACCUCCGUCUCAUAACGAGAUAAAUCAGUAAAUCUCCUGUAAUAUUCAUUCGCUGUCAUCUUUCCUUGUUUCAGAUGCGUAAAUUCUUGUUUAUUGCGAUCUAUAUACUCUUGAGGAACGAAUCUUUUCUGAAACAACUGCUUAAACACUUCCCAAUCAGCUGCUACUUCUGGUGACAUCUGAUAAGACUUCUGUCUCCACCAAGAUGCAAGUUGCUCUCCUAAAAACCAAGUAGUUGUCUCAACCCACCUACGUGGAAAGCUCCCCUGACUCUACAUCAUAAGAAAAGUCUUCUCGACAUGAUUAAGCCAGUUCUCCGCUCCCUCAUGUCCUUCAUUACCUAUGAAAUGAUUCAACUUCAGAUUAUACACAUUCUCAAGAGAUGUCAUUUGAGGAGGACGGAGCGAAGGCUGAAUGACAUUAGCUAUAGCUUCCCCUAACUGAGCAAUAUUAGGGAAACUAGGCUCAGCUGAGUGACGUGGCUCUCUACGAGAUGGCAUAGUUCUGACAGAAGACACCACAAUGAUUAGAAUAUUCACGAGUUAUACAUGACUGCUAAAUCUAGACCCUGAUACCAAAUUGACACACCCCGACCGAGAUCGAGGCAUGCUGGCCAUCACGUGAGGGUGACGUAGCCAUGUGCACUAUGCGGAAUCACUAACAAUAAUGGAGAAUACGAAUAAAUAAGAACCAACUCAAAAGAGUACUAGCUAAGAUAAGUGUUAGGGUAAGAGUGAAAAUACAAUCAUAGCGUAAGUAGCCUAAGUUCAGUCCAUAAAACAAGUAUUAAACAAACGACACCCAAAGAUGUCAUACAUUGUAAUACUCUAUCAGAACCUCUGUUUAAUCCUCGUGAACCACCAACGAACAAGCUUACCUAAAACCUGGAGGGGCGCAAAACAGAAAGUGUGAGUGGGUAAAAACAAAGCUUUUCAUAAGCAUUUCAUUUAUCAAAUGCUCUAACCCCUCGUCGUAAAACAUGUAUAAUUUUCCCAGAAAUGUAAUAAUAUAUAUAUAUAUAUAUAUUUUUUUUUAAAUCAUGCUUCACAUAUCCAUAUUCAUAAGUAUACCAUGCCAAAUAUAUAACAGAAUGAGUAACUCAGGUGAAAAUAAGUUCAUGGAAAACAUCUUAUUAGUCGGAACCCUUGCAGAGGUCUGUACAGUUUAAUUCAUAGCUCAUUGAAUAAAUCUAGCUGGAGUCACCAAAGGUGACCUGUACAGCACUACAUCUGCACACGAGUUGGAACCACCUGUAGUAGUAUGUACGACAAGAUUGGGUGUAAUAUAGUUAUGCUCAAUGCUAUGCUCUCAUGAUAGUUGUGCGAUAAAUCGCUAAUCACUUACGAGUCGGAACCACCUAUAGUAGUUUGUAUGACAAGACUGUGCACCUAAAUUGGAUCCAACGUGAGCAUGGUGCAGGAGGUGACAUUAUAUACAGGCCUGUGCCAUAUCUCUGGCUAAAUCACUAACACCGGGGUGCAGGUUUAUGAGCUCAAGGUUUCUCAAUUAAUCACAAUCGUUAUUCAAAUUCACAAUUCAUAAACUCACCUGGGACUUACCUGAGCGUCCACAACACCACAAUUAUAUAUAUAUAUAUAUAUAUAUAUAUAUAUAUAUAUAUGCAAACAUCAUAUGCAUAUUCUAAAUGUAAAACAUUUGGCUUGGCAAUUCAAAUCAUAACUCAUUUGAAUGCAUUUUCUAGGAAAGAUACCAAGCAUAUACAUAUAUACUGAAAACCAAAAGCCUACUCACUGGUAUGUCGAAGGGUUGUAGCCCUCGAGCUGCCCUUGACUGCGCUUGUCCUCGGGAUAGGUCUCCCCUAUAUGCAAAACAACUAUAAAUACAUUAAUUUAAAGCACAUAAAUGAAACUAACUAAUAACUUCUCAAACAUUGCUCAAAUGAGAUGUUUGAAUAUACUAUCGUGAUCUACUCAACCUCACAAACAUCCCCAUAUUUUUAGAAAAAAAUUUCGACCACCCAUGCGCCAUCACUCGCCUGCCAAGGCACAGCCAGAUGCGCCACCCACACGCGGGCAAGUGCCAGGCACACUGAUGGAACAGUUAACGUUGUUAGGGAAUAUUCCGUCAAAAGUAGCAUAUUCUGUUAAAACUAACCUGACGUCAUUAGAAUAUUCCGUUAAGUUUGACAGAAUAUUCUCUGUCUUCUUCCUUCGAACUCCGAUGAUCGUCGCCGUCGCCGGAAAAUUGUGAAAUUUUCAAACCUUAAUAUCUCAGUCCAUACACAACCAAAAUCCAUGAAAUUUGUACCAAAAUGAAGCUUACAACGAGUAGAACAAAACCUUACCUUUCAAAAGUCCUAAAACUGAUGGAAAUUCGCUGGAAAAUACCUCGAUAAUCCGGCUAAACUUGCAACUCAUCGAAACUCAACUUCCCGACGUCCAAAUCACUUCAUUUUUCUUCUCCGAGCUUCGUGAAGACGAUCUAAAGCUUCCUAUAACAUUAGAAUCUUCCAAAAACUCCAUAUUUACGUGUGUAUAAAUAGUACCUCGAAUCUUGGUUUCUAGUUCUCGGGUUUUCCAACGGCUUCGCGUCCUAAAAAUGGUACCACUCGACUCCUAAGCUUAUAAGGAGUCCAAAGACACCAACCAAAACCUCGAUCCGCGACUGGUUGAAGGGUUUUAAGGUUGACCGUACGGUUUGUACAGAAAUGGAAGGAAAUCCGAGAGGGAGAGAGAGAAAGGGUCAACGGGUGUGUUUGUGUGGGUGUGUGUGUGGGUCACCAACCAAAAACAAAAGAAAACUUAGUCUUAAUUGGGUCCAAACAAUUAGGACUUAAUUUCACACUCACAAUCCAACACUCAAGGGCAAAAUCGACAUUUCACGCCAUCGAUAAAAAUAAUUCGGGACGGGCUAUCACAAUAAAUUUAUGAGUUAAAUUCUUUGAAUAAUGUCAGGGACCUCGAUAAAACUAUUCAAACAAAUAAGAUUUCAUUCUAACAAUUAGGUUGACUAAGGAACGAAACCAAAAUGACCUUAGUUUAAAAUUACACUCGAAAGUUACAUAUAAUUGUAAUCGUUGUCAUCUACGGUGUGGACUUUAGAUUACACUAUUAAAUUAGUAUAUUAAAGUUGAACUUUAUGUUAUUACAAUAUUAACGUUCAAAUUAAAUGGUAUAGAUCCUUUUUUUCUUUUUUAAUAAAGUAUUGUACAUGGAUUAUCAAAAUAAUAAAAUUUAGGGUAAAUUACAUUUGCACCCUCAAGUAUGGGUGUAAUUAUAACAUCAUACAUCAUCUUUAAAACAUUACAAUUUGAUGCACCAAAUAUGAUUUUGUUGCAAUUUCAUACAAUCCGUUACAUAAUCAGUUAGAUUGGUUGUUAAGUGAUGAUGUAGCAGAUAUGGGACCCAUGUUUUAAUGAGGUGAUGUAGCAUAUUUGGUGCCAUGUGGAUAAAAAAAUUAAAAAAAAUUAAAAAAUAUAUUAUUAAAAUAUUUAAUAAAUUAUUACAAUAUCCAAAAAAAACAUUAAUCACCCCCCACCCCACUCCACACACACCCAUACUAGACCCCUCUUCCCUCUCCGAUCCGUCAUCCAGCAUCAUAACACAUCUUCUCCCUCUUAUCAACCCCAUCUUCCAUAACCACAAACAACUUGUCUCUCUGUCACCAUUAACCCUCAACACCACACCCUCACCCAUGACCAAAUUGCAGUAAUUGAUACCCAUCAAUUCAAAUAUGAUGUGGUUUGAAAUUAGGAAUUUUUUGAAUCCAUCAAAAUCAAAAGCCUUCGUUGUUGAAAUUUAAUGGGUCUGGUUGUGAAUCGACGGAGAGGUAGCGGUGGCUCUGCCAUGGUGACAACUCUAAGAUGGGUGGGUUCUUCUUGUCCUUUAAUGGGGAACCCAUCUGGAACCAUAUGGUGUUGGUUUUUUUCCCCCACCUUUACACAUCCCACUCUAGAUUCGUUGAUCUCCAUCCCAGAAUCCCAAAAAUGAAAAUUUAUAGGGUGGGGUAGAGAGUGAUGGGUUGUGAGUUGGUUUGGGGAGAUGUUGCAACGAGGAAUUUAGAUUUGGAUUUGCUGGGUUUUAUUAAUCACAGGGAUUUGUAGUGUGUUAGGCGAGGCGAGGGAGAAGGAAGAAGGGGUUGAAGAUUUAUAGGGUGGGGCCCACUAUUUUUUAGAAGAAAAAAAAUCAUAUUUUAGGUUUUCUUUCUUAGAAUUACAUUUCUAAAAAAAAAUUAUUUUUUGUUUGUCCCAUGUGGCAUAUUAUUGACUGCCAAGUCAGCAAAAUAGUGGGACUUGUAAUUGCCACAUAGUUACUUAACGGUCAAACUAACAAUUUGACUAAAAGAUGUAUAAUAUUGAAAUAAAAUCAUAAAUAACGUAUGAGAUUCAAAUGUUUUAAAGAUGUUGUAUGAGGUUGCAAUUAUACUCAAACUAGAAGGUUGGAAUGGUCUUAGCUCCUGAAUGGUCAUCAAACAAUAAAGAAAAAAAAUGAUUGAGACAGUUAUGACUUCCAUUAUUGAAUUUCCUUUACUUGAUUGAACAACCCAAAAUUCAGUUAUUUCAACUACAUCAAGUGAUUUUUCAAAUUGGUCAAGACUCUCCAGUUUAUGGCUGCUUCUCUAUGGUACCAGUUGUUUGCUUCAUUAAUAGGCUCACUAUUCGAAUUUCAUCAUUAUGGACUGGUACAACGAUCCAGUCCUAGACAUGCAGACCUAAUUUUAACAGCAGGUGUGGAUGCAAAAUUUCUCCUCCUCGAUCUUGGACGAUUUUGCACCUACAAAACAACUAGCACCUUAGGUUAAGGCCAAAAGCCUCACGCGCCCACGAUGAAUGGGGGGGGCUUUGGCCGAAGAACCUCCGAUGCCAAAGUUAGAAUUUUGGAGAGAAAUAGUGUUUAGAGUGUUUGUGAUUUUUUGCAAGAGGUUUUGGAUUAGUGUUUUGUGAAAAUGGUACCCAAUUUAUAGGAGAGGAAAGGAUGAUUUAUUUUGGGGGGUUAUGGAGAUAGUGGGCUAGUUAUUUUUAGGGAGUUAUGGAAAUAAUUGGCUAGUUAAUUAGCAAAUAGUAAUAACCUAAUUUACUAGCUAUUUGAAUGUCACAAAAAGGGGGAGAAAAUGGCAGCCACCAACAGGAAAUAAAGGGCAUGACCGGCCUAGUGGGUUUUUGGUUAGUUUGUGGUUUAAUUAGCCACUUUAAUUGGCUAAUUAAAUAUGAAAAGAAAUGUUAUAGUAAUUAUGGUAUUGAUUGGCUAAUAAAAGGGAAGAAAUGGUGGGAAAAGGUAACAAAAAAGGUAAUGGUUUAGGUUUUGAAUGGGAUAGCCGGCCCUCUAGUAUUUUUAGGUUUGAGUGGAUGUUUCAAAUUGAUAAUUAAGGGAUUGAUUAGGUAAUUAAUCCCUUAAUUAGUCAAUUAUUAUGAUUUGAGGAAAUAUGAAAGCAAUAAGUAUAUUAUUUAGCUAAUUGAUUAGCUAAAUAAUGAAAUGGGAAAUAUAUGAAUAAAUUAGGUUUUAAGUUGAUACCUAUUUUGGGCACUUUUGACUUGGUUGAAAAAUGAUUGCCUACUGCUCGUGCGUAGGAAUCCCGGUAUGCCUCAAGGGUAUUUUUGUCCUCUUAUGUUCAAAAGUCCACGUGUCGCCUAGUGAAUAUUAUUUGCUCCACAAAUGCCCCCACACCUGUUGGGCUGCUCGCAAAAAAAAAAGGGCAACAGGUGUAGAGAUUUUCUUGCUUUAGGAAACUUUGAAUUUGUUUCCCUCUUUGAUGUUGAUUCUCUCUUCUAAUAGGAAAUUAGAUCCUUCUAGGAAAAGGAAAUAAAUUCCUCUCAAAGUUUAUUUAAAUCCACCUUAAGUGGAUUAUUAAAUCAACUUUUAGAGAAAAAUUUAUUCUACCUUACAAGAGAGAAAGAGCUUAGAGAAUAUUUGUUCCCCCUCCUCUAGCAAUUUUCUUCAUCUUGCUCGUGCAAAGGACCGUCUUUCGUUGCUUGCUUCGUCUUCUCGUUGUUUCUAGGUAAGAAAAAAUUAUUUUUCUUGUCUUCUUGAUUUUCUGGAAUCUUUGGAUCUUGACUCUUGGCUUGAUGGGAAUCGGAGACUUGUUAUGGGUUGAUCUGGUGAACCAUGGCAUGGUAAUGCCGUGAAAAAAUAUAUAUAUAUUUUUUUUCUUGUUUUUCUUGCUGGGCGCUGGGGCGCUGUUUUUCUUGCUGGGCGUUGAAGCAAGCCAGGCCGUGGGGCUUGGCAGGUUUGCUGGGUCCUGCGGCUUUAAGCCUUUAAAUUUUUUUUAUUUUUUGCUGCCGAGAGCUGUUUCUCUUUUUUUUUUUUUUUUUUUUUUUUUUUUAAACAACUCUUUAACAAAUCUUCCUUGUACUUUUGUAGAAUUUUCAAGCAUGUCUUCCUCGAGCCGUAAGAAUGAUGAUGGUGUGCCCCCGUUGUAUCGUCAAGGCGGGUCUUUGAGCAAGAUUGGCUACUUCAAAGCUGCUCACCUCAAGAUUAGCUCCGACAAUUUGUUUAGAGAUUUUCUUGAAACGUAUUGGCAUGCCAUUCCGUCGGGAGUGCGUGUGAGGCGAGUUAAAGAUGGUAGCAGCCGAGAACCAUGCAGUGGAACUCGGAGAGCUAUCAAGUUCCAUCCUUACUAUUUUGUGUUAGGGUUUACUUUCCCUAUGCCGCGUUUCUUCCAAGAAGUGCUUUGCUCUAUGAAAUGUGCGCCUGCCCAAUGUUCCCCGAAUGCGGUCCGAGUGAUGGUGGGGUUCCACAAUUUGAACCAAUUCUUUGACUUGGGACUAACCACCAACGAAUUUUGGUAUUUCUUUGACAUAGGUCGUAUUGAUGGAGUUGGACAACUGCGAAUCCGUCAUAAGCUUUUUGAUAAUUCGAGCAAAGGAGAUCAUGAUUGGGCCAAAGAGACUUUGGAGAUAAGUGGAUAAUGGGAAUCUGAUUCUUCUCCCGAGCUGCGUGUAUCAACGGUCUUCAUAACUGGUAAGCAGACUGCUUAGUCUUUUCGGUUGCUUUGCUUUAGUGCCAAAUCAUUCUUCAAUUUUUUGAUUGUCUUCUGUUUUUUUUUUUUUUUUUUUUUUUUUUUUGUAGAUUCGGAAUUUGGCUCAACUCCUAGGGUUUCUCCAGAUAUGAAAAAAGUGCAUGUCGCUCUGGGUAUUCCUUCCGAGUAUCGUGAGUGGCGUUGGCUGCUUAGUCCUCUUCGUAGGAAAAAAGGUGGACUACCCCCAGAAGAAGAAAUAAAACGGAUCAAGGCAGACGCGAUGGUUCGUCCUAUCACUGUGAUAGAGCCUACUACCAAUGAAGGUGGGAAAAAGAAACAUUCUCCGCCUGCUCAAGAGAUGCCUGCUGAGAAGAAAACGAAUACUGCUUGUGGGGAUUCUCUUGCUGCUCCCAAGAUUGUGAUUGACCUGACUUCCUCUAAGGGCGAGAAAGAACGAACUGCUACAUUUGUGCCGGUAACGCCUAUUGCCUCAAAGGCUGCUAGCUCGAUUGCUGAAAAAAUUGCUCAGCGUAAAAGUUCUUCCGUGCCUUUGGUACCGAAGUUUGUGCCGAAACGUCCGUCCGGGACUAAACCUGACUUACCCUUGAAGAGACUUGCUACUAUGAAGAGUGAUAAGGUGCCACUGUCUUCUAAAGUGGCGCCGAAAACUGCUUUCUCCGCUGCUGCAACCAACUCGUCUGCUGAUAAGAAUGAAGCUGCUCGCUCAGGCAGGCUUGAAGAAUCCGCCAAGGCCGUUUCUGGGGAGGCUACUAAGAUUUGUGCGCUUUUGAAACCAGAUCUUCUUGAAGACAUGGAUGUAUGUGCCCAGUUUGUUGAUGGCGUCAAAGAGAUUGUUGGUCCGAGUCUUUUUGCAAAGCACACACCCGAGUAUAGGAAGACUGCUCUGCUAGCCAUGAUGCAGAAAACAACAAUUCUGGCAGCCGAGUCUAUGUUCCUUGACCAAGAGGACACCAAGGCUGCUAAAGAGAUGGCAAGAAAUAUGGCUGCCGAAGCUUAUUCCUCGGCCGAAAAAAUAAAAAAAUUGGAAUCUGAGCUUGCUACUUUGAAGGAAUCUAAUACUUCUGCCCCCACUUCUCUGCAGCUUGAGGCCGCUCACCAGGAGAUCAUGGAUUUGAAGACUAGGUUUGAUGCGAUCCAAACAAAGAAUGAAAGUGCAGAGAAGGAAAUCGAGCGUUACAUACCUCAGAUUCAAGAUCUUGAGCGUUCCAUAUCUGAACUUCGCUCCGCUGCUUAUGCAAAGGAUGAAGAAUUGAUUGCUACUUACAACCAAGCGAUCCACUUCAAAGAGGUUGUUGACAGGCUUGAGCCUCAAGUGUCGGAACUUCAAGGUGUUUUGAAGACCAACGACAAUCUGAAGAAGGAAAUUGAGGAGUUGCAGCGGGUUCGUGCUUGCCUGCUUGAGGAGAAUGAGCAGUUGAAGAGUGAGAAAGAUGGUUUCGAGGCUUCGCUUAUUCAGAACCAAACCGAUUUCUACAAGCUGGGCUAUGUAGAUCAUCUCUAUGGGCGGCCGUCUGACUUUGAGUUUUCCGGUAAAGACUUCGAGACCUUCUCUAUUUCUCCAGAAGACUUGCUCGAUUUUACCUUUGAGUCUUCUAUCGGUGAAAUAGUUGGAGGAGUUGAUACCCAGGCUGGAGCAGUCGAGGGUAAAGAUUCGGAGGAUGCCGCUGCUGAAAACACCAAGGCUGCUGAAGGUGUAACGACCGAGCAGCUGGGAGAUGUCCAAACUACUGAAGAGUAGUCUUCUAGGUAGCUUUUAGGGUUUCCUUUUCUUUCCUUUGUUGCUUUUGCUUGAACUCCUUCGGUAUUUGCUUGUUGUUUAUCAAUUUUGCUAUAAAAUUUAAUAAACUCGCUUCUUUUGCUUUUCCCAUCCUUAUUUUUUUUUUUUUAUCCUAACCUUUAGACCUUAUAAGCCAGUGGCAGGCGUGCUACUUUUCUAUAAGCAGACAAGCCCACAUAGCCUAUGCAGCCGUAGGUGUUGAUGUAGAACUUUUGCAAAGUUAUUAACCAUAGGGUUGGCAGCUGGAUGCCUUACUUACAGAAGCAGACGAAUCCGCGUAACCACUUGGCUAUUCAACCUUGGAUCUUUCCAAUUCCGUAGGCUGUGUAGCAAGUAUCACAACACUUUAGGACUUGGUGUAGGUUAUUCUGCGUUUGACAGAGGUGAAGCUUAUCAACUACGUAGCAUGUCGGCAGUGGAUAAAAUCUUCGUGUGUGCACGCUAACUUGUUUAACCUUUCACAAUAAUGUGCGGUUGCAUAAGUCUAGCGUGGUUCUACUGCUCGAAGGGCAAGCCGUAGGCAGUCUUCUAGAAAUCCGUAGGCUACCUUAGUGCACUCGGUAGCAGCUUUAGGUUUCCAGGGCAGCCGCCCAUUGGGUGUGCUGCAUAAUGUGCCCCCUCCGUCUCUAGGGCCCGGUUCCCUGCGGAUUAAGCCGAUAGACCCAUAAUCCUUCAACUAGCUAAGCCUUGAAACAGACCAUUAUGGCUACUUCUAGGAAUCCCGGCGUAAGCCAUCAUGCACCUAGUUAUUCUAGGGCAGCCAAGCUCAUCCACGUCUGGAUAUUCGGAGUGUUGAGUUUAUCCUCCCUCAUUGGAAAGCACAGUUGGUCCCUUGGGGGGUGUAAUCUUCUUUUGAAGUGCAGAAAGAAAUAAGUUGUUGUAGACAUAUAUUAAAGCCAAAUUACAAAUUACUUUUGAAUUCUUUUAUUGAAAAAUAAAAUAAGCAAAUAACUUGGUUGCAAAAACUGCAUGAUGAUUGGAUAAUCCUCGGUUUACGAGGUGGUGCCCGUUGAGAUGCUCGAGUCUUCGGGUCUUGAUAUAGUGUGAAGUCACACAUGGUAUUUCCUCAAAUUGUAGGCGUUCCAUUGCUUUUCGAUCUCUUUAUCAUUCAUGGUAGCAAGAGUAUAACUGCCUUUGCCGCCGACUCUGUUGAUCUUGUAAGGACCUUCCCAGAUGGGGUCCAUUUUUUUCGAGCAUUCUCUGCGGGCAGUGAUGAAAGCUUUUCUUAGGACUAGGUCUCCGGGUUGGAACUGCCGGAUCUUGGCCCUUUUGUUGUAGCUAGAAAUGAGCUGCUGCUGGUAGGCUGCGAUGCGGGUGAUGGUUUGUUCGCGCCUUUCUUCUGCCAGAUCUAAAUCUGUGGCCAUCUCUUUACUGUUAUGCUCAACGUUUGGCAAUAGAGUGUUGAUGCUUGGCACGAUGAUGUUGGGAGGUAUGAUUGCUUCCGAACCAAACGCCAAAGAGAAAGGAGUUUCACCGGUUGCUCGUCUUUUGGUGGUGCGAUAUGCCCAUAAACAUCCUGGGAGCUCAUCUGGCCAUUUCCCCUUUUUGUCGGUGAGGGAUUUCUUGAGGCAGUCGAGAAUCGUCUUGUUGGAUGCUUCAGCCUGCCCAUUGCCUUGAGGAUAUCUUGGUGUGGACAUGUGUUGUUUGAUGCCGUAUUUUUGGAAGAACUUUGCCAAAUCUUUUCCCACAAAUUGAGGACCGUUGUCAGUGACGAUGGACUGAGGGAUGCCAAAUCGGCAAAUGAUGUUCCUCCAUAUAAAGCGCUCUAUGUCCGUCUGAGUCGUGGUUGUCAUGGGUUCUGCUUCUACCCAUUUGGUGAAAUAGUCGGUUGCCACGAUCAUCAUGCAUCUGCCCCCCGUAGCAGGCGGCAUAGGCCCUACCAGGUCGAUUGCCCACUGCAUGAAUGGCCAAGGACUCGUUUGCGGGUAUAGCUCACUGGCGGGUAGUGCUGGUACUGGUUUAUAGCGUUGGCAACGGUCGCACUUUUGUACUAACUCCUUAGCAUCUUGGUGCAUGGUAGGCCAGUAAUAGCCUGCGUUAAGAGCCUUUUGGGCUAAGGAUCGACCUCCAGAGUGAUUCCCACAAACGCCUUCGUGGAUUGAGCUUAGAACCUUCAAGUCAUUGGGAGGUGCCAGGCAGCGGAGAUGUGGUCCGGUGUAGGAUCUUCGGACGAGAAUGCCAUUCCAUAUAUAGUAGCGUGCCGACUUAAUUUGGAGCUUCUUUGACUCCAAUCUUUCUGUGGGUAAUGUGUCGUUGACCAAGUAGUCUAUAAUUGAACUUUGCCAAGUGGGAGUUACACUAACCUGUGACACUUCGGCUAUCGACUUCAUCUCUAUGCUUGGCUUGUCUAGAUAUUCCACCGGAAUGGAGCGUUUGAAUUGGUGGUCAAGGGCGGAGCCUAAACCAGCUAGUGCAUCUGCAUGUGCAUUGUCUGCCCGCGGAACUUGAGUGAGAGUGUAAGUCUGAAAUGCUUCAAGCUGCUGGCGUACUUUCUUUAGGUAUUGUGCCAUCCUUGGGUGUUUUGCCGUGUAUUCCCCAGUAGCCUGGCUGGUGAUUAGUUGGGAAUCAGAAUGAAUUGCGAGUUUCUUCACCGCCAAGUCUUUUGCCAUUCGGAGGCCUGCUAGUAGAGCCUCGUACUCUGCUUCGUUAUUGGAUGCUUUGAAACCUAGAGUGAUCGCCUGCUCGAGCAUUGAGCCAUCUGGAGUAACAAGAACUACACCUGCUCCCGAGCCUUUAUAGUUGGAUGCACCGUCGACAUGCAAGUUCCAGAAAUCUUUAUUGGAUGGAGUAAGUGUGGCUAAGGUACUCUCGGCUGCUUCUGGGGCGUCGUUGGGCCGCACUGUUGCGUUGCCUAGGCUAGGUGUGAAUUCUGCCACGAAAUCUGCCAAGGCUUGGGCCUUUAUCGCUGUGCGAGGUUGGAAAACUAAACCAUAUUGGCCAAGUUCCAAUGCCCAUUUCAUCACUCGUUGAGAAGCGUCCGGACCAUGUAAUAUUGAUCGUAAGGGAUAUUGAGUCAUAACAAUGACUGUAUGAGCUUGAAAGUAGGGUCUGAGCUUCCGAGCCGCAACAACUAACGCCAAAAUUAAUUUUUCGAUCUUCGGAUAUCUUGUUUCUGCAUCGAGAAAAGCUUUAGAAGUGUAGAAUACCGGCAGUUGGGCCCCCAGCUCUUCUCGUAUGAGAGCAUAGCUCACUGCUACCUCGGAAACUGCCAAAUAAAUAUAUAAAUCCUCCGCUGCUUCCGGCUUGGAUAGUAAGGGAGGUGAUGUGAGAUAAUUCUUCAAGUCUUGGAAAGCUUUUUCGCAUUCUUCAUCCCAUUUGUCUCUUUGUGCCCUCUUGAUAGCUUUGAAAAAGGGUUUCCAUCGAUCGGUGGAUCGUGAGAGGAAGCGAUUGAGGGCGGCUGCUCGUCCGGUCAAGCUUUGGAUCUCCUUCAAGGUAGUUGGAGAUUUCAUCUCUAUGAUUGCUUGGAUUUGCUUGGGAUGUGCUUCAAUUCCUCGUUGGGUUACUAAGUACCCUAGGAAUCGACCUGAAGAUACUCCAAACGUGCACUUGGUGGGGUUGAGCUUCAUCUUGUACCUUCUAAGGAUAUUGAAAGUUUCUGCUAAAUUGCGAAUGUGAUCUGAUCGUUGCUUGCCCUUUACCAUGAUAUCGUCGACAUAGACCUCCAUGGUUACCCCAAUUUGCUUUUUGAACAUCAUAUUUACUAGCCUUUGGUAAGUGGCUCCCGCGUUCUUGAGGCCAAAGGGCAUGACCUUGUAGCAGUAAGUGCCUCGCUCUAUCACGAACGCAGUUUUCUCCUUGUCGGGCCCAUGCAUGGCUAUUUGGUUGUAGCCGGAGUAUGCGUCUAAGAAACUAAGUAACUGGUUUCCAGAAGUUGAAUCUACUAAUAGAUCAAUCCGGGGGACAGGAUAAUGGUCUUUUGGGCAUGCUUUGUUGAGGUUGGUGUAGUCUACGCAAACCCUCCAUUUGCCCUUCUCUUUCUUCAUGACUAGUACGACAUUAGCAAGCCAUGCCGAGUGUGCUACCUCUUCUAUGAAAUCGGCCUCCAAUCGUUUAUCGAUUUCUGCCUCGAUGAUCGCUACUCGUUCGGGAGUGAAAUGUCUUCUUUUUUGAAUUACCGGUUUGGCAGUUGGAUCGACGUGCAGCUUGUGGCAGGCCACUUUGGGAUCAAUACCGGGCAUGUCGGAUGGUGACCAUGCGAAGAUAUCUCGGUUUUUCCUAAGGAAAAUUGUGAGUUCUUCCUUCUCGUCUGGGCUUAGUCGUGAGCCAAUUUUAGCCGUCUUUUCCGGCUGCUGGGGAUCAAGAAUGAUGUCUUCGGCGUCCUCUUCGGGUUUCCAUCCUAUCUUGUCUGCUUGGGUGCCAUCUUCUCGAUCCACCUGCUGUAAUUGCUAUUUGGCAAUUUCUUUGCCCUUUUGGACUUCGGUAACCUCUACGGGGGUAAAUGUCUUCUUCUUUGUUUCUUUUAACAUUUGCACAGUGCAUCGUCGGGAUGAAGCCUGGUCAGACUUGAUCUCUCCGACUCCUCCUCCCGGGAUGCGAAAUCGGAUUUUUUGAUACUUGACGGAAGUGACAGCAUCCAGCUUGAUCAACCAAGGUCUCCCAAGAAUCCCAUUGUAGGGAGAUGGGUCGUUUACAAUCGUGAAUGUUUGCUUUGAGACGACUGGCGGUGUUUUUACGUCAAGUAUGAUAUGGCCGAUGGCAGUUGAGGUGUGUCCGUUGAAUCCAGUAAGUACCUCUGCCCGGCGUAUGAUUGUACUUUCCAGGCCCAUCUUCUGAAUGACUGAAAGUUGAAGUAGGUUGACCGCACUUCCAUUGUCAACCAUCAUCCUAUCGACUAUAGCAUGGGCUAGUUGGACAGAUACUACUAAUGCAUCGUCGUGUGGGAAGUCGACUCCUUCUGCAUCCUGCUCCGUGAAGCCAAUGAUAGGUCCAGGUUGGGUAUCGACUGCUUGAACUUGUGAGAUUAGUAAAGCCUGCUGGAUCUUCCUCUUUUUGGAGUUAUUAGUAGCCCCUAAGUGCUCGGAUUCAGCGAAAAUGCCAUUGAUUCGAAUCGUCUUAGUUGGUGGCUCCUCAUCUCCGUUUGCAUUCCUUUUUUGCUGCUCAGCUGGCUUGUCCAAAUAUCUAUCGACUUUGCCUUCUUUCACGAGUUUCUCUAGGUAGUUCUUCCAAGUGUAGCAAUCGUUGGUUGUGUGACCGGGACCUCGGUGGAAUGCGCAAUACUUAGUGUGGUCCAACUUGGAAGUAUCUCCUUUUGACUGCUUCGGCAACUUGAACCAUGGUUCAUUCUUGACGUCACGAAGGAUUUGAUGAAUCGGAAUUGAGAACUUAGAAUAGUUGUUGGUCAUCGGGCCUUCUUUGGUCGUGGGUCGGUCCCUGCGCUUGAACUCAUGUCUGCCCUUGUUGGGUUGUUUUUCAUCCUUCUUUUGAGCAGCUGCCAACUCUUUUCGACGCUGUUCGGGAGCCUUUUCUGCUUGUCGAGCCUCGUCCCAAAGCGUAUGCUUUUCUGCGAGAGCAAAGGAAUCUGCUAGAGUUAGGUCUUCUUUCAUGAUCAUUUCUCCAAACAGUGGGUGGUCUGCUGGUAGUCCUUUUUGGAAGGCUGCACUUGCUAUCGAGUUGUCGCAUCCGACGAUCUUCGCCUUCUCUGUUUUGAAUCUCUUCACGUAAUCGCGAAGCGACUCUUUUGGGUUUUUCUUUACGUUGAACAGGUGAUCGGACUUCUUCUUGAUCGAUCGAUAAGAUGAGUAUUCUUUGGUGAAAACCAAGGAAAGAUCAUCAAAAUUCUGGAUGGAUCGUGCCGGCAAGGUAUGAAACCAAUCUUGUGCCUCGCCUUGUAAAGUAGUGGCGAAUAUUUUACACAUAAGGGCGUCAUUAUUCCGAUAAAGGACCAUCGCACUUCGGUAAUGCUUCAAGUGUCUUUCGGGAUCCUCAUCUCAUUUGAAAGAUGUGAAGUGCGGCAUGCUAAACUUGCGCGGAGGCUCUGCCUGCUCGAUCUCAUCCGCGAAAGGUGACCUGCUCAUGUUGGUCAUAUCUCGCCUUAGUGCCUCAUCAACCAUUUCGUUGCACCGAAAAUCAGGCAUCCGUUCAUUGAAAAGCCUUUCUACCUCUUCUUGGAUUUGCUUUUGUUGGGGUAGCGGAGUUUUUGGCUGCCCUUGGUCUUUUUCUACCGGUCUAGGCUGCUCUUCUUCUCGCUCGGCUUGUCUACGCUGUGGCUGCAAUGGAUGAGAUAGAUUCCUAGCAGGCGAGGGAUUUCUUUGCAGGCUACCGGUUGAACUAGAGCCAGAUUGAACGAUCGUUUCCUUCCGUUUGUCAGGCUGCCUGCUCCGAUGUGAUGUAGAGGAUACUCCUUGUGAGCCUAAUCGCGAAUGAAUGCUUUGCCUGGAAGGUUGCCCAUGUUGAUUAUCAAAGCGUGGCCCCAACAGUGAAUGCAUACUUGCUCGUGGGCCUAACCGAGAGUGCACGCUCCUCCGCGCGCUAAGACGGGAGUAUACGCUAUUUCGGGGGCCCAAUCGAGAGUGUGCACUGUCUGAAUGCUCGACUUGUGAUGGGUUGAAUGGCUGCUUUCUAGGACGCUGUUUAAAAGGCUCCUUGUCUACCCUUGUUCUACUUCGGGAAACUUCAUCGUGGGCGCAAUGCAUCUCAGUGCGUUGUAAAAGUUGAUUCACCAAGGUAGUUUGUUGUGCAAGGGCGCUCGUCAAUUCUAUGACUUGUCGGGACAAGUUUUGUUCGCCAUUCGGAUUGGAAGAACUUGGAUGGAAUGCACCUCUUUGAACAAUGAAAGGGUGGUUGACUCCAAGUGCGAGAUUUGAGUUGGGGAAUGUCAAAUCUGCGGAGAAAUGUGGUGAAAACGCCUCAGCCUCGAUGAUUGGUCCGGAUGGUUGAGAUUGUCUCGGGCGGACUUGGGCAACUUGGGAAACCAUGAAAGCAGGCUGGGCUGCGGGGGCAGGCUGGAUCACUGGGGCAGGCUGGAUCGUUGGAGCAGGCUGGGCUACAAGAGCAAGCUGGAUCACGGGAGCAGGCUAGGCUACAAGAGCAGGCUGGAUCACGGGAGCAGGCUGCUCAAUGCGCGGUGCAUGUGAAUGCGAGGCUUGGGCUUGGGUCCACGUAAACUUGGAUGGCACGGCUCGGGCCGUGGUGAAGGCUCCAUGGACCUCGCCACGAGUGGCUACCGAAGUAGCCACCGCGGUGGUUCCCAUGGUGGCCGUGGUGAAGGCUCCAUGGACCUCGCCACGAGCGGCUACCGAAGUAGCCCCCGCGGUGGUUCCCAUGGUGGCUGUGGUGAAGGCACCAUGGACCUCGCCGCGGGUGGCUACCGAGGUAGCCAUCACGGUGGUUCCCAUGGUGGAAGCUCGUGGUGAUGAUGCCGCUCCCCUUCUUGUCGCAUUUUGCCUCAUGGAUCUCCGCAAUCCCAUUUCUUGAAUACUAGAAUUUUUACUUGCGGAAUUUUCUAAAUUUCUAGUCAUUAUAUUUUUCUUAUACGUUUUAUCAAAGAACCUUUGCAAGUAAAAAAUUCUAUAAAUAAGAACGUAUGAAAAAUAUUCAAAUGGACUAGAAAAUAAAGAAAAACCUUUUUGCGCGAGAGUCUUUUACGAGUAUGGAUAACAACUCUCAAUGAAAGCACCAAUUUGUGGAUGCAAAUUUUCUCCUCCUCGAUCUUGGACGAUUUUGCACCUACAAAACAACUAGCACCUUAGGUUAAGGCCAAAAGCCUCACGCGCCCACGAUGAAUGGGGGGGGCUUUGGCCGAAGAACCUCCGAUGCCAAAGUUAGAAUUUUGGAGAGAAAUAGUGUUUAGAGUGUUUGUGAUUUUGCAAGAGGUUUUGGAUUAGUGUUUUGUGAAAAUGGUACCCAAUUUAUAGGAGAGGAAAGGAUGAUUUAUUUUGAGGGGUUAUGGAGAUAGUGGGCUAGUUAUUUUUAGGGAGUUAUGGAAAUAAUUGGCUAGUUAAUUAGCAAAUAGUAAUAACCUAAUUUACUAGCUAUUUGAAUGUCACAAAAAGGGGGAGAAAAUGGCAGCCACCAACAGGAAAUAAAGGGCAUGACCGGCCUAGUGGGUUUUUGGUUAGUUUUGUGGUUUAAUUAGCCACUUUAAUUGGCUAAUUAAAUAUGAAAAGAAAUGUUAUAGUAAUUAUGGUAUUGAUUGGCUAAUAAAAGGGAAGAAAUGGUGGGAAAAGGUAACAAAAAAGGUAAUGGUUUAGGUUUUGAAUGGGAUAUCCGGCCCUCUAGUAUUUUUAGGUUUGAGUGGAUGUUUCAAAUUGAUAAUUAAGGGAUUGAUUAGGUAAUUAAUCCCUUAAUUAGUCAAUUAUUAUGAUUUGAGGAAAUAUGAAAGGAAUAAGUAUAUUAUUUAGCUAAUUGAUUAGCUAAAUAAUGAAAUGGGAAAUAUAUGAAUAAAUUAGGUUUUAAGUUGAUACCUAUUUUGAGCACUUUUGACUUGGUUGAAAAAUGAUUGCCCACUGCUCGCACGUAGGAAUCCCGGUAUGCCUCAAGGGUAUUUUUGUCCUCUUAUGUUCAAAAGUCCACGUGUCGCCUAGUGAAUAUUAUUUGCUCCACAGCAGGCACAGUAACAAUGAAAAUGGCUCCUUCUUUAGUAAGAUUAUAUGAACAAAUGCCUGAGCCAAAAUAUGUUAUUGCUAUGGGAGCAUGCACAAUUACAGAGGGGAUGUUCAGUACCAAUUCUUAUAGUACUGUUCGGGGAGUUGAUAAGUUAAUUCCUGAGGAUGUCUAUUUGCCAGGCUGUCCACCUAAACCGGAGGCCAUUAUAGAUGCUAUAACAAAACUUUGUAAGAAAAUUUCUCGAGAAAUCUAUGAAGAUCGAAUUAGAUCUCAACAGGAAAAUCAGUGUUUUACUACUACCCAUAAGUUUCGUGUUAGACGCAGUACUCAUACUGGAAAUUAUGAUCAGGGAUUACUCUAUACUGGAAAUUAUGAUCAGGGAUUACUCUAUCAACCACCGUCUACUUCAAAGAUCCUUCUUGAAAUAUUUUUCAAAUAUAAAAGUUCAAUAACUUUCUCUGAAUUAGUGAAUUAGGCAGGAUCCUUUUGUACAGAAUAACAAAGCAAAUAGAGAGUCAACUUUCAUAGAUUUCAUCGUAAAUGUGAAAUACUUAUACAAAUAAAAUACAAAUCAAAAUGUAGGAGAGAUAAAAAAAGAUGCAAGGUCGUUUAUCCGCUUCAUUAGUCAAACAUGGGUUAGUUCAUAGAUCUUUGGGCUUCGAUUACCAACGAAUAUAAACUUCACAAAAUAAAACCCGAGGAUUGGUAUUCAAUUGCUAUCAUUUUAUAUGUUUACAAUUAUCUACAUUCCCAAUGUGCUUAUGAUGUAGCACCAGGUGGACAGAGUUGAGACUAAAAGGAAUGUAUAAACAAUGCUUCCAUGGAUUCGAUCGUGGUUUACAAUUAUAGCUUCCCACACUUGUUUAUUUGGGAUCGUCUCUUGGAUAAAUAAAGAACAAGAGUCAAAGAAAAGGCAGUGAUUCAAAUCAAGAUUUAUCUAGUAACCCAUCGAAAAAUUACAAAAAAGAAAAAUAAAAAUGAAAAGUACGAGGUAACAGGUAUGCAUAAAAGUAUUUGCCCCAGGGAGAAUCCUAGAAUUCUGUCUUUUUUGGGUUUAAACAAGUGUGGAUUUUCAAGAAAGGAAAUCCUAGGUCUAUCCUGUAGAGGUACUCAAAUUGGAUAAGUAAUCGAUUUAUAGGUUUCGUCGUCAACCUAAUUGGUUACUUCCAAUUACGUAAAUCAAUAGUUCAAACCGCCCUCAAAGGUAAGGCAUUUUUCCAUUUUUAUAGGAACUUUUGUACCAGAAACAAUGAUAUCUCCAAUUAUAGCCCCUCUGGGAUGUAAAAUAUAUAUUUUCUCACCAUCGAGUGUAUGAGAGACAAAUGUAUGCAUUUCGAUUAGGGUCGUAUUCUAUAGUUACGAUUCUACCAUAUAUGUCUCUUUCAUUCUGUCAAAAAUUGAUUUUACGGUAUAGACGCUUAUGACCUCCUGUCACAGCCUGUCCCGAAAUUUUUUUAUCGGGAGCGUGAAAUGAUGAAAAUACCCUUGACGGGUAUUAAGGUACGUGUUUGACAUAUGUAUAUAUUUUAUGGACUAAUUAUCAUCCCUAAACUUUUGGAGAAAAUUGAGUUGUAAAUUUGUGUGGUUAGGGAUUGAAGUGGGAUUGUUUUGGUUGGACCACACCCUCACUCACGGACUCACCUUUCCUUCCCCCUCUUCCCCGUGUCUCUCUCUCUCCUCCCUCACGACUUUCUCACUCUCUCUCACCCUCGAUCGUACGGACAACACCAAAACCCUCCAAAACUUCGUGGAUCGAAGCAAAUAAGGUAUGAUUCUUCACCCUCUUGAUGUUAUGAGUUGAUUGGUAUUAGUUUUAGGAAGUGAAACCCUCGGAAUCGUCGUGAAACCCUAACCCCGAAAAUGUGCAUUGUUCAUGCACACGUGAAAUCUUGCAUUUCAGGGAAUUUCAAGCUCACAGUGAGCUUAAGGACAUCCUCACGAGCUUCGGGGUACUUCGUUGUUGAUAUUUGGACGUCGAAGGACCGAGAACGGAGGUUCUCAAAAUUUCCGAACUAUCGUGCUUCCCCAGGUAAAAUCUAGUGAAUUUUAGACCUUGAAACUAGUCCAUCGUGAUUCUACAUGUUGGGGGCUUCAAAUUGAUAUAACAUUCGAAGAAAUCGGUUGAGAAACGAAGGAGAACAAGCAUUUUUAAAACUCGCCGGAGUCCGGCCACCGGAAAAACCAGUCCGGCGACUGGCUGAGGAAGAUGAUGCGCGUGGGGGCGCGUAGGCCCGUGCCACCCACGGCGCGUGAGGGCGCGUGGCAAGCCUAAAAAUUUUUCUAAAAAUUUCUCGACGUCCGUGACGUCAAGUAGGUCGAUGUGGUAUAUUCAUAUACCCAAAUUGAGCACCGUAUGAGAAAUUAUUUCGAAUUGUUGGUUAUGUGUUUAAAUUAACGUUUUUAUAGUUAUUUCGCAUAUAGGUGACACCUAUCCCGAGGACGAGCGCAUCCAGGGACGUCACGAGGGUUACGACCCAUCGACUUACCAUUGAGUGGGCAGUUUUGUUUUUGUAUUACCUAUAUACUACUGUUUUCCCAGAAAAUGCAAUUAUAUGAAAAUAUGUUUUUUAAAUGCCACGCAUGCAAUUGUUGAGAUGUUUGAACUGAUAAUUGAUGCAUAUAUAUGUGAAUUGACGUUGUGGACGCACAUGUGAAUAUCAGGUGAGUUUAUAUGGUUUAUACGAAUGAGUGAUGAUGUGAAUUAUGUUGGAAGCUCAUAACCUGCACCCUAGGUGUUAGUGCUUAUAUUAUUCACCACACCGCACGCUCGCCUUGGAUCCAAGUAGGUGGAUGUCGUACAGACCACUAGAGGUGGUUCCGACAUGCCAGUUGUACAGACCAUUAGAGGGGUUCCGACUGGUAGGUGACCUUAGAUUAUGUGCACAGAUGAUUGAUGAGAGAAGCACUAGAGCGUAUUAUUUCACCAUCUUAGUCGUACAGACUACUAUAGGUAGUUCCGACUUAUGUGCAGUGUAGUGCCGUACAGGUCAUAGUUGGUGACUCCGGCAGGGCCGUAUAGGUCACAGUUGGUGACUCCGGCUGGAUGGGAUAGUGAGCUAUAGAAUCAGCCGUACAGGACCACUGUAGGGUCUCUGGUUGAUUUAUUAUUUCACCUGAGUUAUAUUGAUGCAUUCAUAUUAUAUUUUGGCAUGGCAUGGCAUAUUCUUUCUGAGAUGUUAUGUUGAUAGAUGGUGAGCGGAGUUUUGAUGAUAUAUGUAUAUAUACGUUUAUAUACUAUUUUUCUGGGAAGUAUACAGGUUUUACGGUGAGGGGUGAGAAACGUUUUAAAUGAAAUGUUUUUGGAAAAUCUUUGGUUUUACUGACCCACUCAUCUUUGUUUUGCGCCCCUCCAGGUUCUAGUUAGCAAUUGGUGGCUCUCAAGGUCUUUUUCGGCAUUCUGACAGACGUACUGCAUGUAGGACUCACCUGCGGGUGUUGCACUUUUAAUUAUAGUCCUACUUGAAUGCACUUGUUACCUACGCUCUGAAUUCGUGUGUUUUACUCUAUAACUCUCUCUUGUAUGCUAGUAGGUUAUUCUUCUAGUGGUUGGUUUAAAUUCCUUCAUAUUUCUGUUAUAUCUUGCUUCCGUGUCGCACUUUUGGCUACGUCACGCUCACGUGACGGCCAGCACGCCUUGAUUCUAGGAUCGGGGUGUGUCACCUCCCCCUCUAUGCCACGCGGUAGUGAUUCCUCUAGCAUUACGACAUUUACCAAAGACUUAUAUAAAGUAUGAAAUAAAUAUGAAAUCUACUACAAAAAAUUAAUAUUUUUUAGGAAUUUAAGGCGGAAAUGGACGUAUUUUUUCUUUUAAUAAAUAUCUAUUUUGUACAUUUCAAUUUGAAUUAGGAAUUCCGCGUACAAGUGGUAAGUCAUUAACUACAUAUACACAUCAGGUCAUAUAAAUGUAUUACCAUUAUGUAUUACAAAUUACAAUAAAAUUACAAUAACGAAUACAAAAAGAGGAGUUUUUAAAAUGCGAGAUCUAAAAACAUAUCUCCCUGUGGCAUCGGUAGUAAGUACUCUAUGGCUCAGGUCUUUAAGCAGGUUUAUUGAUAGAGAUUAGUCGUUUUUUUCCAGAUGCAUUGAUAUUCUCCUUUUUUUUUCUUUUUUUCUUUUUUUCAUUCUAGCUAUUGAUAUGGGAAGAGGGAAGAAGAUAGAGAUGCAAUCAAAUAUCUGUGACUAAUCCCUAUCCAUCUCUUCUUUUUUUCUUUGGUUUAUUUUUUUCACUUAUUCUUUCAAAAAAAAAAAAAACCAAACAAAAAGCGGUUUCACCCUCAGUGAAAAAAAACCUCUCUGUAUUUUCUUUUGUGUGUUAUACAAUGUUUGGAUGAAGAAAUUUAAGAUUACUAAAGAAUUUUAAAAUAACAGAAAUUGAAUUGACGGGAUUUUAUUUUCUAUAAUUUGUGAAUUUUCUUGUUUGGUUAGCCUAAAAGAACAAUGGAAUUGAAUACGAAAUUUGUUAUUUUUAAGCUCUCAAUCAUAAAAAUUAGGAAAUGACAUCUAUGUAUAUGGAAUUUAAACUUGAGAAUUAGAGACUCCAAAUUCCAAGUCUUUUUUUGCACAUAGAAAUUUAGUAUUUAUGAAUCCAAACAACAGAAUUUUUACAUGUGAAUUUACAAAUUCUUACUUUUAUACCGUUACUGUCGUACCAUACAACCUCUCGUCUCCUCUUCUCACUCAAGAAUCAGAUCGAACGAGUAUCAGACCCGUUGAUCUCACUCUCUGCGUCCUCCUCUUCGACAAUUCCCGCGACCCUUUGCAGAAAGGUUCCAGCUUUGGUGAAGAAUAACUGCUCAACGACCCCACUUCGAAACUGCAACUUGAAAGCUUGAAACUUUUCGAGUUCAUCCUUUUGAUCCUCUGUUCUCACGGUACUCCACGACGUUUUUGUUCUGGAUUCUGGUUUUGUUUAAAAUUGAGAAUUAAGGGUGGGUAUUGUUGAAUUUUGAGAAAUGAGUUUUGGGAUGUUUGGAAAUGGAAUUCUGUUAAAUUUUUGGUUUGUGGGGUUCCUUGAUUCUUAUCUGAGAAAUUCAAAGUUCAUGUUUUUUGUACGUAAUUUUGGAUUUGUCUGUGUUUUCAGCGUAAUUGAAUGAUUAGUUUCAUUUUUUUUUAAAGUAAUUUUGGAUUUCUGGUGUAUGGCUGUGUUUUCGGCGUAAUUGAAUGAUUAGUUACUUUAUUUGGGGUUGAUAGAGUUUCUAAGGAUAACUGAGAAGAUGAUGUUGUGAAUUGGUGCUUUGGUUCUUGUUGUUUUGGCUUCUAGGAAGUCAGAACUCUUAUCUAGUAUGCUUUUUUAGGCUCAGUGUACCGGAGUUUUUCGUUUCUUUAGGGGGCAAUGAAUCCUAACUAUGAAGUCUCGAGGGUUUCAUAAUACCACGUGCACUGGAUUUUAUGUGCCUUUGUACACUCUUAUAUUGGUUAUAAUAUAGUUAGGAUAAGUGAAAAAUAUAAAUAGAAGAUUUCAUGCUAUAUGUUCAUUCAUACCUUAUGAUACAUAAACCUCAACUUGGCUACUAGUGUUGUAAGGUUUGAUACGUUCUAGGUUCUGAAUGAAUGGAGUUUGUUAGAUUUUUCUGAUUUUUUGGUUAUAUUAUUAUAGUGAAAUUAUUUAGCUUUCUAAUUGGUUCAUUUAGACAAUUGUAAAAGGAGUUAAUGAAUCUCCCCAUGACAAACGGAUGCUGCAGGAUUUUGGGUUUCGGUUAAGUCUGUCAUGCUGAAUGUUGCUACCAGGAGGUGGAAUAAGGAUGAACUCCAUGAUGGAUGAUAUGAACUUGAUUCAGCAGGCACAGAGGCAUCACUUAGUGGUUCGGGAGCUUGGAGAAGAGAUUGAUUUAGAAAUUGGAACUGGGGAUGAUGAUCCUUCAUUUGCUAACAACCCCCUUAUUGGUGGUCCACCACGGGAACCUUCUGUUGAGGAUAAUGACGAGAGUAAGAAUAUGGUAAUGGCUUCUCACCUCCCUAGUGAUGAUCAAGACAUGUCAAAGGGACAGCCAGUAAAAAGGAAGAAAAAGGUUGUGAAAAGAUGGAGAGAGGAAUGGGCUGAUACCUACAAAUGGGCUUAUGUUGAUGUCAAGGAAGGGACAGCGAGGAUUUUUUGCUCUGUUUGUAGAGAGUAUGGUAGGAAGCAUAGAAGAAACCCCUAUGGAAAUGAGGGUAGCCGGAAUAUGCAGAUGAGUGCACUCGAGGAACACAACAAUAGUUUGCUUCACAAAGAGGCACUUCGCCUUCAAAUGGCCUCCAAGGAUAAGGUCGUUGCUGACAAACCCAUUUAUGUUAAAGGUUAGCACGUUCUGCUCAAUUUUCUUUGGUUUGCUUUGGAAGUUUCAAAUAACCACCGUCUGAAUUCUGCACAAAUUUUUUGCGGAGUGUCUCUCAGGAAAUUCUUUUCGCAAAGUUACGUUAUUGUUAGUUUUCAUGUUUAUGAAAGUAUCCCUUGCAGUUAAGUUUGCAUUUAGGAUUUUUAAUUUUUUAGCUCGUUGCUGAAUGAAAACUUUGGUUCAGUUGAAUGCUAUAUUCAGCAGUUCACCAUGCCCACACCUAAAUGCUUCUUCCAGCAUUAUAUGGAGUUUGUUGACAUUAGUUUGUUGAUAUUUGCACAUAUUUCACACCAUCAUAUGAUUGAAAGAAAUGAAUUUUGAGUUUAAUUUUUUAAUUGUUUUCCCGUUUGGUUGAUUUGUCUUUGGAAUUACUCUUAAAUGUAGCUCUUAUGUCAAAAACGGCUGGAUCAAUUGUUGAAGCUGCACUGAAAAGGGAUCCUCAUGAGGUUGAGUUCAUACAAUCGGUGCAAGAAGUUGUUCAUGCUUUAGAAAGAGUGAUUGCGAAAAAUUCUCAGUGAGUUUCCUUGGGAUGGAGUAUUGUUUUAGUCGUGCUGGUUAAGGGAAACAAAGUCUUAUUUCUGAUUUCUGUAAAAUCUUAUCAAGUGAAUUUUCUUUUUUCAGUUAUGCAAGCAUCAUGGAGCGCUUGCUAGAACCUGAGCGCAUGCUUGUUUUUCGAGUUCCAUGGAUGGAUGAUAGAGGUGAGACACAUGUUAACAGGGGCUUUCGAGUACAAUUUAACCAGGCCUUGGGUCCAUGUAGGGGUGGUUUCCGGUUUCAUCCUUCUAUGAACUUGAGCAUUGCCAAGUUUCUUGGAUUUGAACAGGUAUUAGUUGUUUUCUUGAGUUCCUUUGAGUUGACUUGUCUUCUUUAGGUUGGGUCAAGCUUUUGCCAAAUCUUUUUCUUCCUGUGCCUCUGUUGAUUGUGUAUUCUAGUGAUUGGUGCUCAUAAGAACACCAAGCUAAAUACUAGUGAUGAGGUUAAUCCCUUCAGAUUGGAAGUGACUGUCUUGUGACGGAUUUGCAUUGUGCUAUUUACCUUCUCUGCAGACUUUAAAGAAUGCCUUGUCACCGUACAAAAUUGGAGGGGCAGCGGGAGGUAGUGAUUUUGAUCCAAAGGGAAAAAGUGAUAAUGAGGUAAAAGUCUUCAAUUUGUUAUAUGUGUUUCAUCAUUUUUAACCUCCUCAGAAGUUGUGAAUGACUAUUUUCUAAGCUGGCAGGUUAUGCGUUUUUGCCAAAGUUUUAUGAAUGAAAUCUAUCGUUAUUUGGGUGUUGACAAGGUAACUUCAGCAAGAUUCCAUUCCAUGAAUAUUUUUUUUCCUCUAUAUGGAAUUUCAAUGCUGUAUCCUGCAUGUCUGGUUUAAUGCUGUGUACACUUUAGGACCUUCCUUCAGAGGAGAUGGGUGUUGGUACUCGAGAAAUGGGAUAUCUUUUCGGACAAUAUAGACGUCUAGCUGGUCACUUUCAGGUACCAGAAACACCGGUAACAAACUAUUUCUGAAUUUAACUUCUUACCUUUUGUGAUGUAAUUUAGUAUCUAGAUGCCAUUUAUGACAUUGCUUUUUCUAAAUCUGUAGGACCACAGGAUUAUGAAAAUUCGGAAAAUAGUAAUUAAACAAGCAAUUCUAUUGUUCUUUUCUAUCCUGACAAAGAGUGUUACUCUUUUCUAUCCUGACAAGGCCAUUGUUCUUUCUAUCCCAACAAAGUCUAUCGUUCUUUUCUUUCCCUACAAAGUCUUGUUUUUUAUCCUGACAAAUUCUAUUGUUCUUUUUUUAUUUCUGUCCAUCUGAAGUCUACUGUUAUUUUCUAUCGGUACAAAAGUUAAGUUUAUGCUUAUCUGUUUAUCAUGGAAGAUAAUUAAGUGAUAAGUCUUUUUCUUUCGUUGUUUUUUUGGUCGAAAGUGGUACAUCUUCAUCUAUUCAGUGUUCAUUUCUCUCCGUACAAAAGUAAAGUUUCUGCUUAUGUGUUUCUCAUGGAAAGAAAGUUAAGUAAUGUCUUUAUGUUUUCAUAUGUAUGCCUUACUUAUGCAGGGAAGUUUUACAGGGCCAAGGAUAUUUUGGUCUGGCUCUAGUCUUCGAACUGAAGCUACCGGAUAUGGACUGGUAACUAAUAUCACAACUCUCCCAUGCUCGUGUUCGGGCUUCCUCUUUUUCUAUUUAUUUUUUGCUUUUUGGUGAGAACUUAAUAGAUGUGUCUGUAUUUGUUGCGGGUAUUAUAAGCUCCCUAUGUAAUUUUCAUCUUCAUUUCCGAUGAUGUGAACAAAGUUCCCAUGCUUCUGCAGGUUUUCUUUGCACAACUCCUACUUGCAGACCUCAAUAAAGAUUUCAAAGGAUUAAGGUACCUUUUACCUGACAUUCAAAACUUUUAAAAUUUUCACAAAACAUCAUAGGAUAUUGACAUAGAACAGCACAUGGGAGUUCUUUCUGUUUACGUAGCGUUUUGAAGAAUCCAAUCCUGUUUAACAUAUCUUUUAACUUUUGUGUGCUUAUAUGUAUCUAUGUAUGUGUAUCCACGAGAGCAUAUAAUUUGUGAUUGCUUAUAGGUUGUUUUGAAAAUUUAUUAUUUUGAAGAUAUUAUAGUUUCCCUCCAGGUGUGUUGUAAGUGGUUCUGGAAAGAUUGCAUUGCAUGUCCUGGAGAAGCUUAUCGCAUAUGGCGCGAUUCCCAUUACAGUUUCAGGUAUUUUCUUACAAGAAGUAUUUAUGGGACUACUUGAAUUAGGUCUUGUGAUGGAAAGGUUUAGUAAUAUACAUAUCUGGUUUGAAUGUUUCACAUGAAAAAAAUUCCAGAUGUCAUACUAGUGUAGGAACUGCUUGAAUUAUGACAUAAUUUACUUGCUAAGAAUGUUAAAAAUUUAUAUGUUUGACGUGAUCAUAUCUAUUAGAUACUUGAGUGAUGAUUGAUCUAGAGAACAAUCAUGCUGUCAACAAUGCUCCGAGCACUUCAUCCAAAAGAUUAUAAAAACAAUGAACAUAGCACUUACGUAAAAACCAGAGGUUGCUAGUAGUCAAUUUGCUUGUAUCUUCUGUGGCCUUGAUUGGUUUGUAUCUUAGGUUGUAAAGAUCAUAUGUUAACAUCUGUGACCGUAUUUAUAUCUAAAUAACAAAAUAAAUUAUUUUUCCUGAUUGCAUCUGAAGAAAGAAAGACGAUAUGAAGAGCUAGAGUACUUGUGCUGUGAAUGUGGUGUUAAUUUUUUUUCCUCCACAUGGCUAUUUCAUUUUCUAGUUCCAUGCUCUUAUUUAGAUUCUCUAGUGCUUUGUGUCAGGAAGUUACGAUUUCCGAGUCGUAAACAUUUAGAGUGAAUAAGACUUGUUAUCAGCAUUUAAUGAAUCACAUGCCUUUUAUCUUCAAAUCAUUGCAUAUAGACUCGAAGGGUUAUUUGGUGGAUGAUGAAGGAUUUGAUUACAUGAAAAUAUCAUUUUUGAGGGAGAUCAAAGCUCAACAAAGAAGUUUGAGGUCUGCUACUUGCUGUCUAUUUUGCAUCUGUUGAUUAAAUAGCUUGGUAUAGUUACCUUCAGGAUUCAUUGUUUACAUCUCAUCUGCAGAGACUAUUCAAAGACUUAUGCUCGCUCUAAGUAUUAUGAUGAAGCAAAACCCUGGACUGAAAGGUGUGAUGUUGCGUUUCCUUGUGCUACCCAAAAUGAAAUUGAUCAGACUGAUGCCAUUAAUCUGGUUAAUUCAGGUUGUCGUAUGCUAGUAGAAGGUAAUAAUUACUGGUAACAACAUGCAUGGUCGAUUUUAAAUUUUGGCGUUUGUUUUCAUAUUCACUAAUGUUAGCUCUGUAACACCUCUUAUUUGUUCUUCUUUUGUAUCUAGGUUCAAACAUGCCAUGUACACCUGAUGCUGUUGAUAUUCUGAGAAAAGCUAAUGUUCUAAUUGCUCCUGCAGUGGCUGCUGGUUCUGGUGGAGUAUGAUUCUUAUCUUUACAGUACAUGCUUGAUAGAUAUGCUUUUCAACAUGUGCUGGGACAAUGCUAUCACGAAGUUUAUACGUAUCAUGUUUUUAUUGGCACAUUUAGGCUAAGUUCAAGCUAAGCUUGUUUGUUUAUGAAAAUAAAUGGAUCUAUUUGGUCUAAAGAAAAAUGGAAUUCAUGUGCUCAUGAGAUUAUUGUUCAAAAUCAGUUUCUGUUAAGAAUCUAAGAAUCUUACAUAAAGUUUUCUAAUCCAUCUAUCUCGAUAAUGAAAUCAUGAAUCUCUCAGUUAUGCUUUGAUUAUAACACGGAUUUGGGGGGUCUGCUAAUCUAUGCGUUAGGUCUAAUUUAGCUAUGCAUGCUCAGCGUCACCAGGGGUGUAUUGAAUACAAAAAUUUCACAUCAGGUAUUCUAAGCUUGCUUCUAAUAUAUGAAAUCACGGGCCCUCCAGUUAUUGCCAAUUGAUUUUGGGUUGAAUACUUCAAUGUUAACAUGUUCGAGAUCUAACAUCGGGUAUUCUAAAGAAGUGACAUUUGGGAGUUAAAAUUUAAUUAUUUUUGUCUGGCAUUUGAUGGACCAGCAUGAGUUAAUAUAUUUGUAUCAUUUAUAUCAAUAUGACUUCCGAUUAUCUUCUUUUCCCUUAAAUUUAUGUUAUCCCUUUGUUGUUUAAUGAUAGCAGGUGGUUGCUGGAGAAUUUGAAUUGAACCACGAGUGUAAUUCAGUGAAUUGGUCUCCCGAGGACUUUGAAUCCAAAUUACAGGUGACACUGUUUAUUUUAUCUCGCUGGUAUAAAUUCUUUAACUUACUUCUACGAAGUGUCUUAAUGACUUCUGGUAGUGUAAGAAACAAUAUCUUUUAGAAAAGCUAAGUAGCCAACACCCCUUCAAUGUCCGUCUUAAAGUUUGCUCAAGGUCUUGAGCUGGUUUGUUGUUUUUCUCUAUGAUAUCUGAUUUGCAUUGUAACUCUUAGGAAUCAAUGAAACAGACUUACCAGAGAACCCUUAAAGCUGCAGCUGACUUUGGUUACCAGAAAGAAAGUCCUGAGUAAGUGUGUUAUCGUAUUGACGCUUGCCUUAUCUUUUCCUCUUGAAUCUUUGAAGAAACUAGAUAACCUCUGGUUGUGACUUGUGUUUGGCCAUGUAAAAUUGCGUACCAUUAACGUUAAACACUUGAAGAAUCAAACUUUCUUUUACGUGCUUGACAGAUCUUUGGUUCACGGAGCCAUCAUUUCUGCUUUUCUGACUAUUGCGCAAGCCAUGACGGAUCAGGGAUGUGUAUAGAGUGGAAGAAUAUUGUACAAUUAUUCGCACGCUCCUCAAAGCUGAUCGGUGUCAUCAACAAUGAACAAUUAUCGGAGGUGCGCAUACUGACGUUGGCAGUAAAUUGUAGAUCUUUACCGGCUUGACUGUGCUGGUUUCGAGAUCAAUGUGGUAUGACAGAUAUACAAGGUUCGAUUGUAACAUAAAAAUGUGUAAUGUUGUAAUAGCCGUGACUCGGAAAGAGUGAGGAAACGUUAUAAUAGGAAGAGUGCAAGUGAAAAUUGUGUAGUAGGUGAGUAGGGUUAGGGUUAGGAUAGGAAGCACUUGUGAGUUGACUCAGUUGAAAUUUCAUAAACUACUUGUUACUUGUGGAAUAUUUGGAUGCUGAACGGACUUUGGAAAUAAAAUUUAUUAAUUUGCUAUUUUCACGUCCCGACUGAUGAAAAAUGAUGUUAUUUUCAUGUGUUUAUUAUUAUUUUGUUUACCUACUGGCUCUUAGUCUAGUAGCAAUUCUCUUUCCGAUGUUUGAGAAAUUGGAAGUCCUCAAUUUGACUCCCUCCCGUCCCCAUAUCUGAUUGUUGUGUUGUUGAUAUUUGAUUUUAACCAAUUAAGCAAUAAAAAUUUAAUUUUUGAUCAUUUUAACCAAUUUCUCCUCUUUUUGGCUGAUUUUCUCGACACCAGUGUCUAAAAUAUAUUGAUUUUUUUGUUUAAAAAAAAAUUAUAUAUACAUAUUGAUUAUUGACAGACAUCAAAAGCACAAGUUUACCUACCAAGAUGCGGUUAUUUUCUAUAUUGCAAUACCAUAUCUUCUCCUUUGCUCUCUACAAAAGCUAGAAUGUCUCUGUGAGUCUUAACAGCUCCCAAAAUGUGAACUGCCAUGGCAAAGCCACCAAUUGGUUCCCUUUAAAAAAAAAUAAUAAUAUAAAAAAAAUAAAACCUACAAUCUCCUCUUUGUCCUCGAGGCCUAAAGUAAAUAUAAGGCACGAAAUACAUAUGAAGACAGAGCCAAGACUAGGCACAUUGUUCAUCAGAUGGUGCUCCCGUUCGGUUGUUUCUAGACUCUAGUUAGUGACCCUCUUCGAAGAGUGGGUUGAUGAGUCGGACUUCUCGGCCAAAUAGUGUUCCAACAUAUCAUCUUCGUCAUCUGCCAUUAACCACAAGACAAGAUGGUUUCUUCAUCAGAUCGUGAACACAACCUUCCUUCGUAUUUACAAAAUUAUGCAAUUCGACUAAUUUUGGUCUCAUCAACAUAAGACUAUAUGCGCUAUAAGGAGAGAAUCACCUUCAAAAUCAUCAGAAUCGAAGUCAAUCUCAUCCUCAUCCUCUUCAUCGGACCCUUCACUGGCUAGAGCUGCACCUUUCUAUGGAGGGGAAAAAGUCACUCAUAUUAUUGUUUUUUCUUUGAAACUGAGAAAUUAUACGUUCCAACAAUAAAAUCCUCACUUGUAAUAACCCCAAACUUCCCCUCGUAUUACCCCUCAAUAAUAUACCAUGAAACUAACUCAACCAUCAAAUCAGACCAGUACAAAUUAGUUUAGUUUUCACUGUAUUUACUUGUUUUGGGCAAAACUGAACAAUGUAAAAUGAAUUAAUUACCGCAGCAUGCCUUCCGGUUUCAAACCACUGUCUACCUGCGAGCCUCUUUUCCUUGGGUGCUGAGAGUGCAGACUCGGGCAUUAACCUUGAAAAUUGAUCACUACCCAUCAGACAUGAAAAUAAAGACUGCAAGCAGAAAUAUAUAAUGAUCUACUAUUGGGAAACUAUUAAAUUUCAAGCAAUGUUUUAAAAGGCUCGCCUUGGGGCGCGCCUAGGCGCCCUGUGAGGCUAGGCUUGAGGGUUGCCGCCUCUGUUUUCAGGGAGUGGGCGGAAGGCGCUGCCGGAGCCUCCUAGGCGCGCCUCAGGGGAUUUUUUUUAUUUUAUUUUAUUUUUUUCUCCCAAACCCAAAUUUUGGGUAGAGUUUUAACUACCUCAUACCUCAUCCUUGCACUAUCAGCUCUCUGCCUUGUUUUCUGAUUUUUAUUUUUUAUAUAAUAGAUGUGUGCGCCGUCUGCGUGCAUUGUUAUAUGUAUGCUCAUUGUGCUUUUCAUCCUCUAUUUUAUAUAUAUAAUAUAAUAUAUGUAUAUAUAUGUGUGUGUAUAUGUAUUUAUAAUAUAUGUGUGUGCUUAGGAUGAUUAUUGAUUAAUAAUCUUCUUCUUUUUUAAUAUAAUAUGUGUAUGUUCAAUGUAUAUAUUAAAAAAUUUAGGUCCCGUUAGGCUUCGCCUCACACUUAGGCUGGGCUAUCCCUCGGACACCUCGCCCACGCCUCACGCUUUUAAUACAUUGAUUUCAAGAAAGAUUCCUUGGAUUUAUAUAUUUCUUGAUGACCUGGAAGUUUUGGUUAAAGUGCUAAUGAACCGUCACAGCAUCUUUUUUCCUUGUUUUCUCAUAACAACUUUUUAGUAAGAUUUGAACCUACAACUAAUCCUAACCAUCCCACCGCAUAACCUGCUAAACAAAGACCAUGGUCUGGUAAAUGUCUUUUCCCUCUCUAAUGUCAUGUCUAUCGUGUAGCACAACAUAAUGUCCUAAAGUCCAUGUAGAAAUGAAUUCCAUAUCUCACGCCUCUCCAACAUAAUCAGAUUUUUCUUCCCCAAAAUGUAGAAUUUUUUGGUGAAAAUAUAUCAAAAACCAAAACAUUUGUACGAACCAAUUGUAGGAAUCCCACAUUGGUGGGUGCAAAAGAAAAUAAUGGGUUUAAAUAUGAUUACCCCACUCUAACUAAUAUUGAGAUCUUUUCUAAUAAAACCCCACACCUGACAGAUUGGGCAGGUGGUAAAGUUGGGGACAGUAUCGGUGUUGUUAAAGUGGGCCCCACAGGCCUGCCGAUCCAAAAAUCCAACAUGGUAUCAAAGCCAAAGAUCAAAGCCAAGGUUCGGGCCCGUGCAGGCUAACAAGCUUGUCACCAAAGGAAACAAGCCAAGACUCAUAAUAGAGAGCCGGCCUUUGAGCUCCAUUGAAAACAAGUCUGGGCUCUUAACAUAGAGUUGACCUUUGAGUUUCAAUUGCCGUUGUGUAGAUCUCCACGUGUGAACCACUAAAAGGGGUUACACGUGAGGGGAGAGUGUUGGAAUCCCAUAUCGGUGGGUGCAAAAGAAAAUAAUGGGUUUAAAUAUGAUUACCCCACUAAUAUCGAUGCCUUUUGUGAUAAAACCCUACACUUGACGGAUUGGGCAAGUGGUAAAGUUGGGGACAAUAUCGGUGUUGUUAGAAUGGGCCCCAUGGGCCCGCCGAUCCAAAAAUCCAACACCAAUAUUAUUGAUCACCACUUUCACAUGCUUUAUAGUGAAAAAAAAAAAAAUUCUGAGUUGACGAAGAUAACCUUACUGAAAUUAUAAAACGAUAAUACUUACUUGGCUCGUUCCAGUGCCAUCUCUGCUUCAAACAUCUCUCUCCAUGCCAGAAAUGUUUCAACUGUAACUGGUUCUCCAUGUGGUAUGAUUACCUAAAAGAGGAAGGAGCAGGAAAAUAAGAAGCAGCUCCUUCAGACUAUCUUUUUCAGGUGAACAAUCAUUACCAGAGAUGCAAACAUACAACUUUGAAUGAAAAAAGUAAAUCCCAUGGGAAAGUGUGAAGCUGGUUAUGCAGUUUUUUUUCACUAAUAUUCACGAACAGUUGCAUCAGAUUCAUGCCGAAAAUUGCAAGAUGCACAAGAGAAAAGAUGAACACCCUUAAAAUAUGAUUAAUCUUCUAGAAGCUUCACCUUUCCAGAUACACAACUCCUGGACCAAGGAGAAAGAAAGAGGGUCUCUUAGAGAGAAUAGCUAGCAGUUUUAUUGACAACCUCAAUGAUUUCAUAACUUGAACUUCUUCCAGCCAUCCUUAGACACGUAAAAACCUCAGCAAGACUUAACUACAUUUAAAUAUGAAGACGUAGGUUUUGGGAUCUUGAGUGUAUAGUUUUCCAGGAAUGCUAGAAGGUAAACUCCCUUUAUGCUUCGAGACUAAGAAAGCAAAUAGCCACAAGAUGAUUAGAUAUGACGACGUAGGACAAAAGGCAUACAUCAUCCUUUGCUGCUUCUUCUGCUUCAGCAUCCUCAAGACUAGUGUCUUGACAAUAUUGUUCAGAAAGCCAUUCCUUGGCUGAUGUAACUAGUGUGUAGAUCAUAGCCAUACCAAGGUUUUCAGAUGCCUGUAAAACAUAUAGAUAUUGAAUUAAAUUCGGUAUUUUUUGGAUAACUUCACAUUAUCUAAUGAGUUGUAUUAGAACAGAAAAAAUAUGCUCACUAAUCUUUAGAUGUAUUAGGACAGAUAAAAAACGACACAAGAAAAAGCUGCAUAGAGAAGUAAAGAAUGCCCAAAAUUACCUCUUGCAGAAGCUUUUCUUUCAAAAUUCUUAGAUGUUCUCCUUGUAUACCACGUAAACUGAAGGAAAAAAAAUCAACCAUUAGAAUAGUUCCUCAUAAACCAUACUGCAUCCACACUUCUGACUUUCCCGCAGCCUUGCUUAACAACACAAUACUGACGGAACUAUUAUAGCUGAACAAUACAGUAUUAAUAGCAGAGACUCAAGGAUAUUUUUUCUCGAACUUCUUUCUUUUCUUUGUAGCAGUAUUUUAUAUAUGCAGUUGCAAGAAGGUUCAAGUAGAAGUUAUAUUUGCUUUGUCCAAAAGAAAAAGGCAAUGAAAAUGAUCAAGUUCUUUUCCAUCAUUACUAACAAUGAAAAGUGGAGAACAGCAAUAUUUUGCACCAUACCUAUUCAAAUUCAAAAGUGGAGGCUCAUCUGGGUAUCUUUCUGUGUGCGAGAAAAUCAAAGCCAGCUGAACUGAAACAGAAGUUUCCAAAACAGCUUAUCUCCAAAUGAAAUGUAAAAGAUACAAAAUACAAAAAGUAAAAAAAAAAAAAGAAUAACUCCUGAAAAUUUCUAGAUAAAAAACAAAUCAAGUUAUCCAAUUAAGAAAGUAACAGUAAGGCAUUAUUCAAAACAUCGUACAAUGCAAAAAGAAAAUACCUGGAGUGGUUGUAAAUUCAUCUGAUUCAUCAUCCUGUUGAAACGAAAGCAAAGAAAUGCACAUAAGGAAAACCUGAACAUAUGUCUAGUUAAGACGUAUACAUCCUCAGCUUGACAUGAGGUUGUUAUAACAAUUAUGCCAGUUAGAACGUAAACCUACCACUGGAGAUACUUUUAUUUGAAAACACCUCUUGGAAGUAUUUAACCCACUCUCACCCGAGUGUAUUUCUGGCACAUCAAAGACAACAGAAAAGAACAUUCCUAUUAGUUUCAGUACUCGUGAAAUAAAAACGAUAACAUAUAACAAAUUUUAUAACAAAUGUUGGUCUGCAGAAGCACCACAUAGCAGAUACCUUUGAAGUCAUCCGCAAGUAUUGCUUCCAACGCUUCGAUUUCCAUCUCCUGCUCUUGUAUAUAGUCUGUAAACAUAGUUGUAAAACACACGGUUAAGUAAAUUUCAUUGCUUGGAACAUAUUUAAGUAAAAUUUAACAGCCUUCUGAUAAACUUCAUACAUUUCGACAAAUCCCAUGUCCCGAAAACCUCAACAACAAAAAAGUAUGCCAUUGAAGCUUCUGGAUUACUUUAAAUUCCCCCAAAAAGCAAUCUAAGAUACCAAAAACAAUGACAAACUCCAAAAUCAACAUAAAAAAUCGAAAAUUGCAAAAUUUUAAUUAAAACUACAUAUCACAAUAGAAAUUCAAUCCUACAACCCCAAUAUUAACAAAAAUUAAGAAUAUAUAGCUUAAUCACGCUGCUAAAAGUUAUACAAUUAACUUAAAUCGCGACCCUUUUAGUUCAUAAAAUCGAUAAGAAACAAAAUUUACUAGAAAAAAUAGAGUAAUUAGCAUCAAUUACCCGUCAUGAUUUCGAAGUUCUUCUCUGAUUUCGUCUCUUCUCGCUACUCAGAGGUAUCUCCGAACCAAAUCAGCUACACUCAAAGAGCGGAAGAAAACCUAAGCUAUGCUGAAACGCCGCGUUUUGUGCUUCUUAUUUCCUUAUCUAUUAUUUCAAUUUAUACAGUCUUUUUAUUCAUUUAUUUAUUUAUUUAUUUAAAGUAAAUGGUUCUAUCAAAACCGGAAGGGGAAUCAGUUAAUCGUGGCCGUCAAAUGUGGUGGGCCCUCGGCAUGCAUGUGGGACAAGUGUAGGGAUUUUAAAAUAUACCUGUCCGUGUAGAAUCUAACCACUUCUUCUCAACGAGUUAGGGGUGGGUUCGGUACGGUUACCGUACCAAAGUCCUUGUACCAAUUACCGUACCAAACUUUCGGUUUGGUAAAAUCUAUUACCAUUACCGUACCAAACUUUCGGUAUACCGAAGUUCGGUAUUGCCAAAAGUUUGGUUGGCAUGGUAUGACAAUGGUAAUUGCCAUUUUGUUUUGGGACAAAAUAUGUUUUUGUUUUUUUAACCCAAUUCAAGGGCAAAACUUUUUUUUUUUGUACCUUUAUCUCAUACAUUAUAGAUUAAAUUCAUCUAUUAUUCAUCAUUCACAAUUCACACACAUAAUAAUUCAAAUGAAGCAUCAAGAUUCAUCAUGAAAAUUAAGCUUACAAUCCAAAUAGAAGUUACGAACCAAAACAAAUAGAAGUUAACAAUCCAAAUAGAAAUUAAAGUUUCAAACCAAAUGAAAAUUGGAAGUAAACUUCAAAAAUGAGAAUUUAUUGAUCAGUUAUUCAAGCUUGAGAUGUCGAAGCUUUUGGAGGAGGCAUUGAACUUGUAGAAGAUUGAGUUUGUGUCAAGCCUAUAUUACAAACAAAGAAAACAUAUUAAUUAGUAGCAAGAAGAAUUAAAGUUGAAAACCAUUUAAUAACAAAUUUACUAAAAAAAUUAAAGCAUAUCUUUCUUGUUUUCUCUUCUUCUAUUUCCUUGUAAAAUUGAAGCAUAUCUUCCGUUGGUCCUUGUAGAAGUUUACUUCAUCUGCCCUAAUGUCACAGCCCGUCCCGGAAUUUUAAUUCCGAGGACGUGAAAAGACCAAAAUGCCCUUAAGCGGGACUAAGGGGCGAAAAUUUAACAAUUAGAUUUAUAUUUGUGUGUGUUAAAUUGUGUUUGGACUUAGGUAGGGCCUCCUACCCUCAAAACAUUCCCUAAAACCCGUAACCUUUCCUUCUCUCUCUUUUUCUUCUUUCAUCUCAGAAAACUCUCUCACUCUCUCUCUUACUCUCGAACAUACGGACUCACACCCAACCUCAAUCAAACCUCCACGAACGUUCCAUUUAAGACCACCAUCGUGAUCCUGAGGACUUCACGAGAUCGGGGAUACCAAACUCAGGUGAGUUUCACUUCGAAAAACCCUAGUUUCAGUGUCACCGUAAUAUUGCACUGUUCACGAACUUCAAAUUGGCUUUGUUUUAGGCCAAACCAAGCUCACAGUGAGCUUAAGGAAGUCCCAAGGAAGCUCGGAGUGCUUCGUUGGAAGUUUUUGGACGUAAGAACACGGAGAUCGACAAGUUCAAAGUUUGGCCGGAGCUUUCGAGGCUCUUUCCGGCGAAUCCCCGGCGAGUUAGGAGUUGAGGUAGGUAUCAAUCUCUUCGUCUCGUCAAGUACUACAACUUUCCUUUUUGUUUCACUCAAUUUCGUUGAGUAUUGAAGAAGUUAUACUCAUUUGAAAAAUACCCAGUUUCCGGCGACCUCCGAGGCUUUCGAGGCAGUUUCCGGCCAAACCACGGCGAAAUAGGUGUUGUGCAAGGUACCAUUCUCUUUGUCUCUUCAAGGACUACAACUUUCGUUUUUGAAUCACUUGAUUUCGUUGAGAAAUGACAAAGUUAUGGCAAUUUGAAAAACGGCCGUCGGAAAAACCAGUCCGGCGACCCAAGGAAGAAGAUGAUGCGCGUGGGGGCGCGUGGGCCGUGCCUUCCUUGGCGCGUGGGGGGCGCGUGCUACAGUAAAAAAUUAUUUUAAAAAUAUGUCGACGUCCGUGACGUCGAGUAGAUCACAGUGGUAUAUUCAUAUACCCAAUUUGAGCAAUAUAUGAGGAGUUAUUAGCUAAGAGUGGGAUUAUGCGUUAAAUAACGUCAAUUUGGUUACUUCUCGUAUAGGCGAGGAUUAUACGGACGUUGGGCAUGGCUAAGGGAGGCUCAGGGACCUUCGACACGUCGAUGUAUUCUGUGAGUGGGCAGUUUUGUUUUCCGUAUAUAUAUAUACUUGACGUUUCCCAGAAAUUGAAUUGAAAUGAAAAUAUGUUUAAAAUGAAAUGCAUAUGAGUUAUGUGGAAAAACGGGAAGUGAAAUACCAUGCAUAGAAUUGAUAUGAAAAGUAUAUAGAAAUGUGAGUUGAACUGCCAUGCAUGAAUUAAUAUAUGAUGCAUAUGUAUGAAUUGGUGCGGUGGACGCACAGGAAAGAAUUGAUUUAUGAUGCAUAUAUAUGAAUUGGUACGGUGGACGCACAGGUAAGAAUUGAUUUAUGAUGCAUAUGUAUGAAAUGGUGCGGUGGACGCACAGGUGAGUAUUUAUUUCUGUUAUGAUGAUGUUGAUGUAUAUUGAGCUCAAAUCCUGCACCAUAGUUUAGUGCUUAUAGUAUUCACCGCAUCGCACGCUCGCCUUGGAUCCAAGUAGAUGCUAGUCGUACAGUCCACGCGGAGUGGGUACGACAGGCCAGUCGCGAGAGUGUUAGUGAGAUUCCGACUGGUGGGUGACCUUAGAUUAUGUGCACAGAUGAUUUAUGAGAAGCACUAGAGCGUAACUUAUGUGCAGAAGGCCGUACAGGUCACGCGGAGUGACUCCGGCAGAGUGUGAGAGUGAUAGAUUUUGAGCUCUAGGUUCAACCGGGCUAAUAGAGGGCCUCCGAUUGAUUACUUUAUUGCACCUGAUAUGAUUUAUGUUGAUGCACUCAUACCUUAUUACUGUUGAGAUGAUGUGGCAUGGCAUAAUUAAUAUGAGAAAUGUUGAGAUGAUGUGGCAUGGCAUAAUUAUGAUGAAAAUGUUGAGUUAAUGAAUUGAAGUAUUGAGAAUAUAUAUAUGUAUAUUUAUAUUUUAUAUUUCUGGGAAAGUAUACAGGUUUUACGGAGAGGGGUUACAACGUUUUGAGAAAUGUUUGGAUUUGGAAAAGAAUUGUUUUACUGACCCACUCAAUUUUGGUUUUGCGCCCCUCCAGGUUCAGGAAUCACAAAGGUGUGGUGACUACGAGGAAUUUGACGGUGUUCUGACAGAUUGGACAAAAUUAGGACUCACCUUCGGGUGUAUCAACUUAUAAAUUGUAUCUUAAAGCUUCCGUACUGUGUAAAUGGUUACGUCACUCUCACGUGACGGCCAGCAUGCCCUCCUUCGGGACGGGGUGUGUCAGUUGGUAUCAGAGCAUGGUUGCAAUCUUGGACAUCUUGAGAAGUUUCUAGUGAAUUCUGUCAGAACUACACCGCCUCGUAGCAAACCACGUAGUUAGAGGAAUUUAGUCUCCCUAAUAUAGCGGUUUAGGGAAAACUAUUAUUAUGGUGAUUCAGUCUAUUAUAAAAAGGGACAUUUUAAGACGGGUUAUGAGUCGAAUUUGAAUCACCUUAUGAAAUGAUGAACCUGAGGGAGUGAAGUAACGGUUUAACCAUUUGGAAAAGAUGUUUCAGAUUAUGCAAGUCAAAGGAAAUUUCCUUCUGACAGGUGGGUCGAGACGACUACCUGGUUUGAGUUAUGAACGUGUAUGCUGAUGGAAGCAGGAGUAUUAAUUGUUGUCACCAGAGGAAGCAGCCGAUUUAAAAUUGUUUAAGGACUUGUUUAAGGAAAAGUUUAUCCCUCCGGCAUUUAUCGAUGGUAGUAAGCAAGAGUUUGCAAAUGUGAAUCAAGUAAGUUGACGAUAAAUGAAUAUUAUAGAAAGUUUUCAGACUUGCCUCGUUCCAUCCAGAUAUUGUUGUUAAUUUGGUGGAGGUGUUAUGUUGUUUUAAGCUGGGUGGCAAAAAGGGAAGUGGUAUUUUGGGUGACCACUAUCCAUUGUAGUUCUUAUCAGGAGUAUGCUAGAUGUUGUUGAGCCUUGAGGACUCUGAGAACAUGAUCAACGAGAGUAAAGAAGAAUAAGAAAUGAAUGGGAAUCAAAAGAAGACGAUAAAGUUAAUGAUUCGUCAUAUCAAGGAUAUAAAAAGAUUCAGAGCUUCGAAAGAAAUAAAGCUAGAGUUAAUUCUUCCAGCUGAGGUUUUAAUGUCGCUGGUCAGAGUAAAAGUGAUGGAUAUACUGGUAAUCCCAGAUAUUUGAGACAAGGUGUCUCGAGUAAAGGAAAUGUACCUUGUGCAGCAGGUACAAAAAUUAACACUUUGAGAAAUGUGAAAUCAAGGAAUGUGUUUAUGUGAACAGAGGGGACGCAGAAUUGUGAAUUGUCCCUAGAAUCAGUUGUACUCAACAAUUUUCCAUGAUAUCAUAGUGUCGAUUCAGCAGAGUUAUGGACUUAGUAGUUUGGUCGGAUUGACCGUGAGUACAGAGAGAUUUGAUGAGUUAUAUGUUCAGCCGUACAGACCAUGAGAAGUGGAUUCGACUGACACAUGAGAAAUUGGUGAGUUAUAGGCUCGGCCGUACCGACCACGCGGAGUGGAUCCGGCCGAUGUAUUAUUGAGAUAAGAGUUGAAUCAGCCGUAUUGAUCAUUCUAGUUGACUUCGGCUGAUAUAUUUCUUAUUAUGUAUGUUAUAUCUUUGAGAGUGGUUGCCUACUUAUCGAGACAACGAUGAUUUAUCAGUAUUGCGGGCUGCAGACCGUAAUAUUAAUAACUCAUUCGUGGAUUCGUUAAGCAAGCAACCCGGUAGAUUAUUUUAUGUUAGUAUUGUACUUAUUCAGAAUGUUCAGUAAUAAUAAAGUAUGUAUUGUGUCAGUUAAUUCUGUUCCAUUAGAUUGAUUGUUUAUAGUUGUGACUAGAUGGAAUGUUACGGGAAACCAGUUACUUUCCAUCGAGUUGAUUAAUUAGAGGUUACUUUGGUGGGCAUACAAAGUGAAAUGAGUUCAGCCAUUAUUUAUGCUGUGAAAGCAAAGAUAUUGUUUUGAAAGGCUGCCCAAAAAUACUUAGUUCAUGUGGUGCUAAAUGAUGUUGUUUGGAGUAGUGUGAAUAAUGUCGAAAGGGUUAGACUUUUCUUGAUGUCUUCCCUGAAAGUAUACCUGGAUUGCCUUCAGGCAGAGAUAUGAGGUUCACUAUUGAAUUGUUGCCAGGUAUAAAUUUAUGUUAAAGAUUGGUUCAUGAUGAGUUAAAGGAAUUGGAAAUUCAGUUGAAAGAAUUGGUUGAUAAAAGUUUUAUUCAACCUAGUACAACGCUUUGGGGGAACCCCAGUUUGUUGGUGAGGAAGAAAAUGGAUCUUGAGACUGUUCAUUGAUUAUAGACAAUGGAGUCGGGUAACGAUUGAGAACCGUUAUCCAUGGUGAUGUACUGAUGUUUAUUUAACCAGCUCAGAAGUAAUUGCGAAGAUUCAAAGAUUGAAUUGAGAUCUGGUUACUACCAAUUGAAUAUUAUAAGUGACGUUGAUCAUAAGAUGGUUUUCUGGACUUGUUAUGGUCCUUAUGAAGUUUGGUGAUGCUAUGUGGAUACUCAUGCGGUUUUAUGAGUUGAUGGAUGAAGUAUUCCAAUAAUGCCUUGAUAAAUUGAUAUCAUUUUUAUUGAAGAUAUUCUGGCAUAUUCUGAGCCAGAGCAGAGCAUGUAAACGUAUUAAGUCGGUGAAGCAAAGAUUGAGAGAACGUUGGUUGUAUGCUAAGUAGCAAAUGCUAAAGUUAGAUGAAUCAGGUGGCAUUCUGAGAUUUGUUAUAUAUUCUUAAGGUAUUCAAGUGAAUCCUUAAAAGAUAGCAGAAAUUGAGGAAUUGGAACAACCACGAGCUGUAAUUGAGAUUCGGAAUUUCUUAGCUUACCAGGCUAUCUUGGAUUUGUAUUGAUACAAAUGUUAGGGUGAUUGCAUACGUUUCACGACAAAUGGAAUCUCAUGAGAUGAAUUACCCUACUGGUGAUUUGGAAGUCACGAUUACCAUCAUUGCGUUGAAGUUAUGGAGACCUUAAAUGUUGAUAAGAAUGCAAGAUUUUACGAAUCCAAAAGUCUUCAAUAUUCAUUACUUGGAAAGAUUUUGAUAUGAGGCAGCGAAAGUGAAUUGUAUUGUUAAAUGAACAUGAUUGUACGAUCAGGGUGAUCGUAGAAUUGUUCUAGCUGAAGCACUUGGUGAGAAGACUACAGUAAGAUUAAUGCCAGGCACGCUUGCCAAGAUUAUCUUCUCGUGGAUUGAAAAUCAAUUAAAGUAAAGUUAAGAAUGAAAGAUCGAGAAGAAGUUAUACUUGUUAAUUUUCAAGUUAGGCCUGUUUGGUAAGGUCGUACUCGAAAUUUAAAUGUUUGACGAGGAAAUUUAAGAAUUAACCAAGGCAGAGAAAGAAGGGAAAAAGAAUGAGUACAUGAUUCGUGAAUCAAAUGGUAUGUGGAUACAAGAAAACAAAAAGUAUGUGCCUAAUGCUGAGGAUUUGAAGCAAGCAAAUAUUGGACGAAGUUCACUGUUCAACUUCUGCAAUAUUCCAAAAGUAAUAAGAUUUAUCAUACCAUUCGACAGUUUUAUUUGGUCAACAGAUGAAUAUACCACUAAUCGAGUGUAUAACGUAGAUGAUUUUAUAUUUUUGGAAAUUUCACCAUGAAAAGAAAUAGCAAGAUUUGGAAAGGAAGACAAGAUAAGUCUUAGACACAUCAGAUCGAUUUGAUCACUAAAGGAAUCGAUGAAGUUGCAUACAAGUGGUGAUGUCUUCAGAGUUGGCUAAGGUACUUAAUGUAUUUUGGGUUCGAUACGUUGUCACUAGGUGGCAAAUUCGUCACAUGAGAUCCUGAUGCAACUAUUGAGAGUUAAAUUGGAUUCGACUUGAUAAGGAACCAAGGAUGACUUUGGAUUGGAAAAAGAAGGUCCUGAGAAUUAAGACAGAGUAAGUGGUAAAAGCUUUGUGAAGGAAAUCAUUCAGUGGAAAAUUAUGUGGGAGGAAAAGAAUCGGAUGAGAGAUUUUUAACCGAAGCUAUUGUUGGAGUAUGGUUGAUUUAGUUGGUUGCUGGAAUUUCGGGGACGAAAUUCUAUAAGGAGGGAAGAUUGUCACAGCCCGUCCCGGAAUUUUAAUUCCGAGGACGUGAAAAGACCAAAAUGCCCUUAAGCGGGACUAAGGGGCGAAAAUUUAACAAUUAGAUUUAUAUUUGUGUGUGUUAAAUUGUGUUUGGACUUAGAUAGGGCCUCCUACCCUCAAAACAUUCCCUAAAACCCGUAACCUUUCCUUCUCUCUCUUUUUCUUCUUUCAUCUCAGAAAACUCUCUCACUCUCUCUCUUACUCUCGAACAUACGGACUCACACCCAACCUCAAUCAAACCUCCACGAACGUUCCAUUUAAGACCACCAUCGUGAUCCUGAGGACUUCACGAGAUCGGGGAUACCAAACUCAGGUGAGUUUCACUUCGAAAAACCCUAGUUUCAGUGUCACCGUAAUAUUGCACUGUUCACGAACUUCAAAUUGGCUUUGUUUUAGGCCAAACCAAGCUCACAGUGAGCUUAAGGAAGUCCCAAGGAAGCUCGGAGUGCUUCGUUGGAAGUUUUUGGACGUAAGAACACGGAGAUCGACAAGUUCAAAGUUUGGCCGGAGCUUUCGAGGCUCUUUCCGGCGAAUCCCCGGCGAGUUAGGAGUUGAGGUAGGUAUCAAUCUCUUCGUCUCGUCAAGUACUACAACUUUCCUUUUUGUUUCACUCAAUUUCGUUGAGUAUUGAAGAAGUUAUACUCAUUUGAAAAAUACCCAGUUUCCGGCGACCUCCGAGGCUUUCGAGGCAGUUUCCGGCCAAACCACGGCGAAAAUAGGUGUUGUGCAAGGUACCAUUCUCUUUGUCUCUUCAAGGGCUACAACUUUCGUUUUUGAAUCACUUGAUUUCGUUGAGAAAUGACAAAGUUAUGGCAAUUUGAAAAACGGCCGCCGGAAAAACCAGUCCGGCGACCCAAGGAAGAAGAUGAUGCGCGUGGGGGCGCGUGGGCCGUGCCUUCCUUGGCGCGUGGGGGGCGCGUGCUACAGUAAAAAAUUAUUUUAAAAAUAUGUCGACGUCCGUGACGUCGAGUAGAUCACAGUGGUAUAUUCAUAUACCCAAUUUGAGCAAUAUAUGAGGAGUUAUUAGCUAAGAGUGGGAUUAUGCGUUAAAUAACGUCAAUUUGGUUACUUCUCGUAUAGGCGAGGAUUAUACGGACGUUGGGCAUGGCUAAGGGAGGCUCAGGGACCUUCGACACGUCGAUGUAUUCUGUGAGUGGGCAGUUUUGUUUUCCGUAUAUAUAUAUACUUGACGUUUCUCAGAAAUUGAAUUGAAAUGAAAAUAUGUUUUAAAAUGAAAUGCAUAUGAGUUUAUGUGGAAAAACGGGAAGUGAAAUACCAUGCAUAGAAUUGAUAUGAAAAGUAUAUAGAAAUGUGAGUUGAACUGCCAUGCAUGAAUUAAUAUAUGAUGCAUAUGUAUGAAUUGGUGCGGUGGACGCACAGGAAAGAAUUGAUUUAUGAUGCAUAUAUAUGAAUUGGUACGGUGGACGCACAGGUAAGAAUUGAUUUAUGAUGCAUAUGUAUGAAAUGGUGCGGUGGACGCACAGGUGAGUAUUUAUUUCUGUUAUGAUGAUGUUGAUGUAUAUUGAGCUCAAAUCCUGCACCAUAGUUUAGUGCUUAUAGUAUUCACCGCAUCGCACGCUCGCCUUGGAUCCAAGUAGAUGCUAGUCGUACAGUCCACGCGGAGUGGGUACGACAGGCCAGUCGCGAGAGUGUUAGUGAGAUUCCGACUGGUGGGUGACCUUAGAUUAUGUGCACAGAUGAUUUAUGAGAAGCACUAGAGCGUAACUUAUGUGCAGAAGGCCGUACAGGUCACGCGGAGUGACUCCGGCAGAGUGUGAGAGUGAUAGAUUUUGAGCUCUAGGUUCAACCGGGCUAAUAUAGGGCCUCCGGUUGAUUACUUUAUUGCACCUGAUAUGAUUUAUGUUGAUGCAUUCAUACCUUAUUACUGUUGAGAUGAUGUGGCAUGGCAUAAUUAAUAUGAGAAAUGUUGAGAUGAUGUGGCAUGGCAUAAUUAUGAUGAAAAUGUUGAGUUAAUGAAUUGAAGUAUUGAGAAUAUAUAUAUGUAUAUUUAUAUUUUAUAUUUCUGGGAAAGUAUACAGGUUUUACGGAGAGGGGUUACAACGUUUUGAGAAAUGUUUGGAUUUGGAAAAGAAUUGUUUUACUGACCCACUCAAUUUUGGUUUUGCGCCCCUCUAGGUUCAGGAAUCACAAAGGUGUGGUGACUACGAGGAAUUUGACGGUGUUCUGACAGAUUGGACAAAAUUAGGACUCACCUUCGGGUGUAUCAACUUAUAAAUUGUAUCUUAAAGCUUCCGUACUGUGUAAAUGGUUACGUCACUCUCACGUGACGGCCAGCAUGCCCUCCUUCGGGACGGGGUGUGUCACCUAAGCCAACCACUAGUACACACUAGUGCCUCCAUUAUUUUAGGAGUCAAGGAUACCCUAAAAGGGUUCACAACCCCCCUCCCUAGACUAAAUGCAUUUUCACUAGCAACAGUAGAAGUGGGGGUUACAAAGAUAUUUUGGCUAUUUGUGAAAGAAUUAGGAGCUCUUUUGUGUUUGAUUUCCACAAUUUUAAGAGAUCAAAGUCACCAACAACAAUGCUAAUAUAAGUAGGGUUUUAUUUUCAAAUUAUUGGAAUAUUAUAAAUAUGUGUUAUAUAAUUAUGUAUUAUAUAAAUUAUAAAUUAUAAAUUAUAUUGUAUUUUUGGUAUGGUACGGUAAUACCGUGGUAAUGGUAUCCAUUACCAAUACCGUACCAUAAAAUUUUGGUACGGUACAAUACCGUACCAUUACCGAUUGGUACAAAAAAUUUGGCACAAAAUCGGUAUGGCACGGUUGGCAAUUCGGUUGGCAUGGCAAUUUGGCAAAAAAAUCCACCCCUACAACGAGUUGUGUCUUACAUGCUGCUCAAAUCAAAACGGUCGGUGAUUAGGGUUGUGUUUCUAUAAUAUAAUUUGAGAUAUUUCACUACAAAACAUUUACUUUCAAAAUGUAAUUUAUGGAUUAGACUAGAGCAGUUAAGAUUAUAUAUUUCAUCAUUCUCGCCAAAAGUGAAUUUGAACCACAUUAUCCCUUCCUUUAACGCAGAUAAUAUUGUCUGUUAAAAAAAAAACAAAAAAGAUUAUGAAACUCACCCGACCCAAAAACUAUUCCACUACACUACUUCCAUUUUUACAGAGGAACCGAAUCUGAGUGCGGCCGACCAUUUUGCUGACCAUGACUAUUAUUUUGCAUUCGUAUAACUUUGAUGAAAUAGGCAUGCAAAUACAAUUCCUUUUUGUAAAAAUGGAAAGAUAUAUAAAAAGAUUAGCCACCGGUGAGCGCAAGCGAUUUGUGAUAUUUGAUGAAAAGUGGGGUUCAAUUUAUGGGCUUCAUAUGCAUUUACAAUUCAAAGCUCAAACAAUUGACCUCAAUGGGGCUAUAAAUUACUAACAACUUAGAACUUUAACGCUUCUAUUAUUAUUCAUCAUUAUAAUUGAAUUUUUUACGAGAACUUGAAAAUUAAUGCUUCGUAUCAUGUGAUCGCAAAAGUCAGUAAUGCCCUAUUAAUUGCUAACAACUUUAAGCUUUCACGCUCCUAACGUCAUUUAUCAUUGUAGAUUUAAAUAGAAUCUUAUGUGCUAUAUUGUCAGAUUAUCCAAAUACUCUAUGAUCUUGAAUUCAUAAAAUAAAGCUUUUGCUACACGUGUUAUGCUAUUAUUAGAAACAUAUACAGUCUAGCAAUUUUGUUGGCAAAAUAUCAAUUUCCAGGAUUAAUGAUUCAAAUUAACAACCUGAAAAGGUAGCUUGCGGGAUUUUAUAUGAUAAAUUUAUAUUUCUAUAUUGAAACAAAAACAAUGAAGGUAAACUGUCAGAUAUCCAAUCCAAAUAAGCUCAUGUUAUCAAACAUAUUAUGAUGUUAGACUUGACCAUAUAUCAUACGAAUUCUCUUUUUUAAAUGCACAAUCCAAAUCACAUUAUAAUUAGUUGAUAGUAAGUAUAUUUGAGCUCAAAUUUUAAAAAUCCAAAUGAUAUUUGAUGACUUAUGUGGUAAUUUGGCAUUUUGUAUAAUUUUUUGGUUCACCCGAUACGUUAAAAUAAUAAUGUCAUUCUAUAUUUUUUUUAAUCUCUUUGAAGGGUCCAAUUAUUGAAACAAUCAAUCAAAUACUGGAAACACAAAACAACAUUUAUUAUACAUUGCAUAACAUCUGUUAAAAAAUUAUUUAGUCAAAUCUAACAUCAGAAGGCUUUGGUUUCAAUUGAAUCAGUGCCACGUAAGAAAAUAAAAAAUCCGGUGGAUAGAAUUUCCUACUGUUUACGGUUGUAUGUUUAUGGGACAAUUCGUAAGAAAAUACGAAUAAAUUAACAUUACCCUGCACCUCUUAUCUGGUGUAGGUGUUAUAUUGAAACCCUAUACGGGAAACCGUAUAUAACCCAAUACACCCCCUUCCUUUUUUUUUUUUAUAUAUAUAUUUUCUCUCUCUGUAUUUCCUUCUACCUCACUCGCUCUCUCUCUCUCUCUCUCUCUCUUUCUCUCUCUGUAUCUGAAAUCCUCUCUAUCUGUUGGGAAAGGAGAUACAAAAAGGUACGGUUUUGAUCCAAGCACAAAGCUUUUUUGGUAUUUCUCUAUCUCCUCCCUCCCCCACCCUCCUCUGGGCCUCCGUACACUGUGAGCCGCACACGAGCGAGCUCGAACAAAAGAUUUCAGAGCUAAAUCCAGUAGUGGAAGAUCAGAAAAUCAAAACCCAGAAAACAUAUAAAAUUAUGAAAAUAAAUUUGUAAUAUUUAAAAAAAAAAAAGGAGCCAUUUUUCAGAUCCUUCUGUAUGUUCUUCUCCCCAUAAACCCUUCAAAUCUGGUCCUUCUCUACCUCCUCCUCUUUAUCUCUUGGCUUUUAAUUAGCAUUUUUUCUCUUCUGGGUUUUGUUGUUUUUAGUGAUUUGGGUUGAAGAGUUUGUGCAUUCUCCGGGAAACUGAGCCUCUGGGCGAUUUCCGAAAGCUCGAAUUUGGUUGAGAAUGGAGGGCUGAGAUUGAAAUCUUUAUUUUUUGAGAUUAGAGAUUUAUUGGGUUUUAAUUGUUUUUUGUUCUCUCUCUCUACCGCUCUCUGGGGGGGGUUUGGUUGAGAUGGGGAGUUCUGGUGAGAUCAGUGAGAAGAGCAUUGAUGCGUCGGUGGGUACUUUGGUAUGGGUCCGCCGCAGAAACGGGUCCUGGUGGCCGGGUCGGAUAAUGGGUCUGGACGAGUUGCCGGACAGUUGUGUAGUUUCGCCAAAAUCGGGCACUCCGGUGAAGCUUCUCGGCCGUGAUGAUGCAAGCGUGUGAGUUCUUUUCUUUCCCCCUUUUAAGCUUAUCAUAAUUUCUGUGUAAUUGAUGUAGCUUGGAUGAACAUUUUGGCUUACUGAUUUGCAAUUGUCUUAACAAUCCGUGUUUUUCAGCUUCUAGGUUAUCUACAUUUACCUUUGAGUAGAAUCGGAAUUAGAAUACGCAUUUGGCUUGAGAUUUUCAUAGGUGAUUUUGGGUAAAAUUUUGGCCUUGUGGGUUGGUGGAUUUAGUGUUGCUUUCUUAUUACCUUGUUUCACUUUAUCUUGAUCGGUUUUUUAUCAUUUGGUUGAUUGAUCGUUGUUUACUUUGGUGUUUCCGGGGCCUUUAAGCUCAACUGGAUCAUCACUUCCCUUAAUCAUGUUUUUUCUUGUUCUAUAGCUUGAAAGUAUUAUCUCAAUGAUAUUGAUUAGCUUACACUUAAUGAACUUGUUACUUGAGACAAUAGUUUUCUCUGCCACCUCCUAUGUGGCUCUCGUGUAUUAUAACACUACGCAGUGAUUGGAGAUGCAUUCUCUAAAAAAGAAAUUCUUAGAUGGUAUGUUGCUUUAUAAAAACGAAAGGAUGGUAAGCUUGAAGCUUGAGAAUACAUUCAUGUAUAAAAAUUUCUGAUGUAUGAAUAAUUACUGCUUGUGUUAUAUGGAAGGAAGAAGAAAAUGCUCAUACUUGAGGGACAGUUCUUUUUGGUCAAUAUAAUUAAGGAAUAGUUGGUGUGCAGUCCUAAUGCAUAGAAGAUACAUAUUAAGUAGGUGCCUAGUGGUUUGUGGCAACAGAUAAAGGUCGUACCCAGUGCACAAGGCUCCCGCUUUACGCAGGGUCUGGGAGAGGUGAAUGUCGGCUAGCCUUACCCCUAUUUAUGGAGAGGUUGCUCCCAAGUCUCGAACCCGAGACCUACCGCUUAUGGGCGAAGGCACUUGCCAUCGCACCAAGUGCGACGGAUAAAAAAAAAAAAGGUCGUACCCAGUGCACAAGGCUCCCGCUUUACGCAGGGUCUAGGGGAGGUGAAUGUCGGCUAGCCUUACCCCCAUUUAUGGAGAGGCUGCUCCCAAGUGCGACGGAUACAUCAUAAAAAAUGUCUUAUGGUUUUCUUCAAGCAUUUUUGAACAUCUUUAUUUUUUAUUCGAUUGGACCCUCGCUUUAAGGGCCUGAGUGAAGCAUGAGAGUUAGUCUGUGGUCUAAUUCUCAAAUCUGAUUAUACUCAUGUAAAUGACGAAAUUUAGGUUGAAGUUAAUUGCCACCCUGUUUGUAAAAAUUCAAAUCUUUUAACGGCAUUAUAUGUGAGGUAGCCUUACAUGAAUCCUUUAUUACGUUGGGGAAUUCAAACAGUGAGAACUGUGUCACUGGAUGAGUAUUUUCUUUAUGUGGCACGGCAGCGAUGUAUAGAGAUUGGCCUUGAAGAGUAGAGCAUUAGAUUUUGAGGUAUUCGUGAAGCACAUUGCUUAAGCUGGAUGCUUUUUAAACGGGUUAGAUGGGUGCAACAUUAGAGACCUAGGAAAGAACCCUUGUUAUCUCUGGAGUAUUUUACAUGAAAAAUAGUACCUUCCUGUCUGUGUUAGUCAUUGGUCCAGGGUUUACUUUACCAUUAAUUUUCAGGGCCCAUCAUACACUGUGUGAGAAUUUUUUUUUGUUUUUAUUUUCAGCAUAUUUCGUCAUUGUGGUUCAGGAUUAUGGCAUUUUCUUUAAGAUUCUUUUUAGUACAGAUUAAAAACUCCGUAUAGGUGUUUAGCUUUCUAUUGAUAUAUGAACACUGUCUGAUCUUGAUCCUAUUGAUUUAGGGACUGGUAUAACCUUGAAAGAUCCAAGAGGGUGAAAGCUUUUCGUUGUGGGGAGUAUGAUGAAUGUAUUGAAAAAGCAAAGGCCCAUGCAGCCAGCGGGAAUAAGAAAAAAGUUAAAUAUGCACGGAGGGAAGAUGCUAUUAUCCAUGCUCUUGAGAUUGAGAAUGCUCACCUAGGCAAGGAUGAUUUGAACUUCAGUGCCCGAAUGAGUAAUUCAGGUGGUGACCAUGGUUGCUCAGCCAGAGAAUCACCUGCCAUGUCUCUUUGCAGCGCGGAGAAUGAAGAUAUGGCUGACGAUGUGAGUGAUUCUGAAGACAAUUCACACUCAGGGCCAGAAUUAUCUCAAUCUGGUAUAUCUUUUGAAGAGCCAAAUCAUAUCAGUUCUUCUAAGUUGCAAUCUCUGCAGGGAAGGAGAAGAAAAACGCCAAAUGAUUCAGAGGAUGAUGGAACAGAAGGAGUGAAGCGCAUGAGAGGACUUGAGGACCUGGGAAUGGGUGUAUUGUCAAAAAGGUCAGGCCACAUUGGAGGGUUCCUUGAACAAGUUCAACAGGAUGGUGCUUCACUCUUAGAUUCAAACACUCGGAAUGGAAUGCCUAAUGGAAGUCCUGCAAAUGGAAGCAAAGGUACUUCGUCGCUGAAAAGAAAGAGAUCUCAAGUGGCAAAUGUUAAUGAACUCUUGAAAAGAAAGAACCGCAGUCGACCAUUGACCAAGGUGCUGGAGAGUACUGCAAUGGUGUCUAUUCCAGCUAUGCCUGACCAAUUGCCAAAUUCAUGUGGUUCACCUCUUCAAGGGUUAUCUAAUGGCAGGGUUUCUGGAUUAGAAUCCAAUGAAUCAAAAGGGAGUUUAUCUGCAGACCACACUGGAAUUUCGUGUGAGAAUGGAACCUCUAUAAAUGUUCCUGAACUGGCUUCUGGGGCUUCCUGUAUUAAUGACAAAUUGAAAGAGAAUGAGAUUCCCAGCAUAUCUGGCUUAGCGGAAUAUGAUUCUUCUGAUGAUAGGCUAUUUGAUGUGCCAUUUGUUGGAGAGGAAAAAGACCCUUCAGGUAAUGGUCAUUCAAACAUUUUAAAGUUAUAGUGUUUUGGGGCUGUAUCUUUGUGUUCCUGUAGUUAUUAACUUAUCGAGUAUAGUCCUAUGGGGUAUCUCUGCACCAUUUGUUUCUUCUGUCAUUUAAUUAUGCCUGCUUUAUUUACAUUGAGGUUCCCCUGUGACUCUGUCACUGUCCGUUCUGUUUAGCCUUUUUCAUGCUAUUAGUUAUGUCUUUUAUCACUUGAUUAUGCCUGCAUUGUUUACAUUUAGAUACCCUGUAACUCUGUCACUCUCACCAUUGUCUUUAGCUCUUUCUCGAUCUUAAUUAUUUCUUGUAUUACUCAAAUAUUCGUGCAUUAUUUACAUUUGGGCAUUCCUGCAACUGUCUAUUAUGGAUCCCCCUGGGAUCUAUAAGCCUUUUGGAUCUUAUUAACGUUCUCUCCUUUCUCUUUAUUUUAUUGCAGAAAAUAAAUUAGCUUAGUCUUUCUUUACUGCUGAUUUUGUCAUCAUUUUUCUACCAGGUUCAUCUCCUAUACGUGCAGCUUGUUCAUCUGGUAAACCUCAGAUUGGUGCGUUGGGAAGGCAAUCUAGUCAAAGUCGUCAACCUGAAGCUGUAUCUUUGAAAAACGAGAGAAUUAAUGAAUCUGGUUGUACGAGUUCAGCAGCCUUGCAUGAUAUCGGCAUAAGCAUAGAGAAAGGUAGUUCAAAGUGGCAGUUAAAAGGAAAGAGGAAUUCUAGACAAACAAGUAAAGAUAGAAAACAUGACUCCAGAAGAUUUAUGGACAUGGAUGAUGAAUACAAUGGUUAUUCGACAGGCAUCGAGCAUUCCAAUGGAUUGUCUCAAGGUUCUUAUCAGAAAGUAAAUUGCAAUGGCAUUAGUGGUUCCCGUGCAUAUAAUGGCACCUUACGAUCAAAGUCCAAACAGGUUACCGAAUUGCCUGAUGGUCCAACUCAGAGAUCACUUCCCUAUCGGCAGUCCCGCUUCACAGUGCCUGCAAGAUAUCAGACGGCAGAUUCUACUGCCCGCAAUUCAUGCUCUGAUGGUUCGUUGUAUGAUGUCAAGCUUGAGGUGAAAUCCAAUUACCGGCCACAACAUGUUCCCCUGGUUUCCCUUAUGAGUAAAUUGAACGGCAAAGCCAUUGUUGGUCACCCACUAACAGUUGAGGUCUUGGGUGAUGGCUGUUCUGAUUUGGAAGUUGAUAAAACAGGCUAUGCAGUAAAGCCAGAAAAAGAAAUUGGAAGAAUCCCAGCCAAGGGAUUGGCAGUGCAACCACGAAAUUCACCAAGUAGAUCUCCCAAAACAAAGAAAUCUGGGCUACAGCCAAAAAAGAUCAGGAAACUAUCUUCACUGACCGGUCAUAAGCAAUCUGAAGAGAGAAAACCACUGGUUCCGAAGCAGAAGGGUCCUGUAAUAGCCUGUAUCCCCCUUAAAGUAGUGUUUAGUAGGAUAAAUGAAGCAGUGGCGCGACCAUCGCAUCGUGUUCUAAGAUCAAGCAACGCUUGAAUAUGGCUUCUUGGGGGGAGAAAAAGAUGUUGCAGUGGAUGGAUUCUUCCGGGGGUAUGCUUCCCUUUUGCAUCCUAGUUGCUGCUUCUCAUUUAUUUGGCCAUGUUAAGUUAGCAGCAGCGUUAUAUCUGCUGCCGUUUUUAAGGCUGAAUCCGUCUGUACAAUUCGAGAAACUGUGUUGUUGUAGAAGGAGCGUUUAGUCUGUGAAUGUAGGCUGCUUUGUGCUCUGUAUAUAAAUGUAUCAUUAACUUUAACAUUUGGUAACCUGAUAUUUUGUUAUUUUAUUUUAUGAAUUCAGGUUCUUUUAGAGGCUUAACUUUUGAGUCAGAGACCUUUUCUUGGUGCUGAAAAUCGAUGCAUUGAACUUUCUUGUGCUAUUAAAUCUUCUUUUGUUUCUGUUGCUUUGAAUCAUGGUGCAUUCAGCAUCUUCUGCUAUUCAAUCUUCGGAACUGAAACCGUAACGUUGCAGUUCUUGUGUGUGCCUUCAUGAAUCAUUUUAGGCUGCUCUUUGUUGCGUUUCUGUUUGCUGUAGCUUUGAAGGUCAGAGGGCCAUGGUUGCCGUGCCAAGGUAUUUCUCCACCAAUUCUCUAAAUGGAUGCAUUUGAAGUUUGAACCAUUUUUUGAGGUUGAGGGUGAUUAUGUCAUUUAAUUCCAUCAGAUUCCUUCCUCCCUUCACUUCUCCCUCAAUCCCUUUUGAAAAUAAGAGCAUUGGUCGUUAGAUUUUUCGUUUGCCCAGAACCUAGAACAAUACGCCAUAUGUUAUUUGUUGAUGCACAAAACCGGAGGGUCUUAGAACAACGUAAAUCCUAUCGUGAAUCUGCAAGAAAGUAAAGAAUACAAGAUGUAUCGUGGUUUACCCCAAUGUUUGGGUUACGUCCACACUGAAGUUGAUAUUGUUUCACUCUGAAUGGUGAAUAUACAAGAAGGCUAGAGGCAGUGUGUUCUCUAGCCUAUUUUCUGUGUUUGCCUUCUCUGAGAUGUUUUUUCUCUUCCCAUGGCCUAAACCUUAACCUCUCUAAUGAGAAAAGUGAGAAGUCAUUUUAUAGAAUAAGGGCUCCUCACUUAUUACAUAUUUGCCCCUUCAUUUAUUACAUAAUUACAUUUGAGUCCUCCGAGUAUUUAUACGAGGUCUAAAUACAGAGGCCCUAAAUAUGGUACAAACAGUAGUUCCCCAAGUCUUCAGUCAAGAGAGUUUUUUGGCUGGAGACUUGAAAUUCAGUCCAUGUGUGGGCCGAAGUAACUAGAUGUCAUUUAGAACUGAUACUCGAUAUGAGGUGCUGCUCAAUGUGAAAUGAUGCUCAACUAGAAGUAGCACAUGUUGCGAGGCUGCUCGGCUUGUGGCUUAUGUUGCCUUGGUUGGCUCGGCUUAUGGCGUUGAAGGUGAGGGAGUCCUUUUUAUAAAAUAAGGGCUUACUUCUUAAUACAUAAAUGAUGGGCUAAAGUUGAUGCUCGCGACGAGGCGAUUGCUCAACAGGCGGCGAUGCUCUCUAAUGAUGGUGAGGGAGUCCUUUUUAUAGAAUAAGGGCUCGCUCCUCAAUACAUAAGUGAUGGGCUAAGAGUGAUGCUCGCGGCGAGGCAGUUGCUCAACAGGUGGCGAUGCUUUCUAAUGAUGGUGAGGGAGUCCCUUUUAUAGAAUAAGGGCUCGCUCCUCAAUACAUAAGUGAUGAGUGCUCUCUAAUGAAAGUGAGGGAGUCCCUUUUAUAGAAUAAGGGUUCGCUGCUCAGUACAUAAAUAAUGGGCUAAGUCCCCUAAAUAUUUUUCAUGAGGCCCAGUAGCAGAAGCCCAAUAUAUGGUACAUAGUGUAGUCCCCCAAGUCUUCAGUCAACAGAGUUUGUUGGCUGGAUACUUCAAAUUUAAUCCAUGUAUGGGCCGAAGUGGCGGUUGUUCAAAGGCGGUCUUUGUAUACCAUGCACUGAAACUUUGUAGGUGAAGCUUUUGAAAGUGAAGUUUUGAAGUUGGAGCUUUUGUAAAUGAAGCUUUGAAGUCAGAGCUUUGUAAAUGAAGCUUUGAAGUCGGAGCUUUAUAAAUGAAGCUUUCGAAGCUGGAUCUCUAUAAAUGAAGCUUUCGAAGCUGGAGCUCUAUAAAUGAAGCUUUCGAAGCUAGAGCUCUGUAAAUGAAGCUUUCGAAGCUGGAUUGACAUGAGUGAUGCUCAUGAAUGUUUAUGUUGAUUGGCAUGAGUGAUGCUCAUGGAUGUUUGACAUGAGUGAUGCUCAUGGAUGUUUGACAUGAGUGAUGCUCAUGAAUGUUGACAUGAGUGAUACUUAUGAAUGUUUAUGUAUGAUUCACGUGAGUGAUGCUCAUGAAUGUUUAUGUAUGAUUGACGUGAGUGAUGCUCAUGUAUGAUGGUGAUUGUCAUGAGUGAUGCUUAUGUAUGAUUUUUUGGAGGACGGGUUGUACUUUUGAUCACUUGGUUGGUGAUAAUAACGGCAGGCUGCUGAAUAAUUUUGGAGUACUAGACGUACUUUUGAUCAGCUAGUUGGUGAUAAUAGAGGCAGGCUGCCAAAUAAUUUUGAAGUACUGGACGUACUUUUGAUCACGUGGUUGCUGAUAAUAACGGUAGGCUACUGAAUAAUUUUGGAGUAUUGGACGUACUUUUGAUCACCUGAUUGGUGAUAAUAGAAGGUGAACCUUAAGUGGAGGGAUGGAGGUUGGAGUUUGAAGUCAUAGGGUCUGGCUCUUUUAGGCAUAUGGGCCUUCGCCCUCCACAUAACAUUCCAGCCCACUAUUUUGGGCUUGCCGACUUUUUUUUUUUCUUCUUUCUUUAUUUAUGAUUACCCUCUGGUGGGUUUAUACAUAUGUAUCCAAAAGAUAAGAAAAGUAAAUCACAUCAUUCAAAAAAGCUACUGGGACUUUGGCAAUAGCGAGAUUUCACCAUUCACAUCAACCUCAGCGGUCCAGCUGUUGGAGAAAACUUUCACCUUCAUAAGUCUUUUUUCGAUGGUAUUGCAGAAGGUGGGCAUGGCAGAUGGUUGGAUAGCGGGAUAGCAUGUGCAGCUGGCAGUUGCAGAGGGCAGGGCGCUUGAAUAUUUGAGCCAAAGUGGAAACCUUUCCGUCAUCACCCAUUUGCUUUUUUUGAUCUCCCCGCUCCAAUAAGACUCACUUCCUUUCACUCCUCCCCAAUACAUAAAAGAUUCCACAAUGAUAAAAAUAUUCGGAAAGCAUUUUGGCAUCAGCUGUUGCAGACAUUAUAAUAAGUCGUAAACUAGAUCGUCGACCAAGUAAAUUUUUAAUAAUGCCAACAGGAGAUCAGUAUUCAAGCUCAUUUCGUGAGCCUCAUAGACUAUUAUGCAAGAAAUACCAGAUAUCUUUUUCCUUUUUUUUUUAUUCUUUUCCUCCCUUUAUUCCUUGUUUUUGCUUUCUGUUUUUUCUCGGUUUUUGUUCUGCUUUGCUUUUGCUUUCAGCCUGGUUGCUGCUGGGACCUUGUAGUGGGAUGGCAUGUGCUAUUGUAGAGGAAAGCCUCCCUUUUCUUUUCCCAGCGCUCCAUGGUCCACGAGUCCACAACUUGUCACAACUUUUCCAUCCACCUACACUCUUGAUUCAAAAGCUGUUGCACCAGAUGCUAAUUUCUCCCUAAAGGUGGAUAACAAGUUGCUUUCAGUCCUUCAACACGCCCCAUAAUGCAAGUGCCACUGUAGGUGAAGCACAGAUUGCGGCGUAGAGCUUCCCAUCUGCAGCCAGUAGAGCUUGAACUCUGAAGCCCAUCUGAGCAUUGGAAGACUGUUCAGUGUUCUGGUCCAUCUGCGAAUCACAAGCUUAUAGAAAAAUGGUUGAGAGAAAGCUUGGAUCGAGAAGCCACUUCAGAAUUGGAACUUCAAUUUCUUGAAUCCGAUUCAGCAGAUAGCAUAAAUGAACUGGAAGCCUUUUGAUUUCUUCUGGGGAGGUUUGUUUUUCCUUUUUAUCAUUGCAAAUGCAAACAAAAAAUGCAGAAAAAAAAUAGAAGUCUGCCUCCACCAAUUGAGAAGUUAGACUUAGAACAACAUCAAAAUGUGAAGGCACAUCUUCUCUCUCUUUCAAUCUCUCUCUCUAGAAGAGAAGACUUACUUGCAGUCUUUUGUUUCUUUAUCUUUCUAGAUCAAAGAGUACAGCUGGACCAUGGGCUCACCAACUUCUGAUUUUUUCCGACCCUUUUCAACUGCAAGUCCGCUGUGAAACAGAAAAAUGUGUGGAGGUGCUAUUAUUUCCGAUUUCAUAGCGCCGGUGCGGUCCCGCUGGCUCACCGUAGACUACCUCUAGCCCGAUCUCAAAAAAAAAAAAAAAACCAGUUCCGAGAAGCGGCUCUCGAAGCCUUUGAGGUCCGAAAUCGUUGACUUGGACGACGACUUCGGGCUGAUUUCCAGGAGUUCAACGACGAGUUCGAUAUGGACGAGGACGAUGAAAUGGUUGAUUCCAAGCCCUCUGCUUUCUCUGCCGGAAACCCCUCUUCUGCUCGUGGUUCUACCGCUGUGAAAUCUGUGAAGUUUAAUGGGCAAGCUGAGAAAUCUGCAUAGAGAAAAAGGAAGAACUAGUACAAGGGAAUUCGCCAGCGCCCAUGGGGUAAGUGGGCUACAGAGAUCCAAGACCCAAGGAAAGGGGUUCGGGUUUGGCUUGGAACAUUCAACACUGUAGAAGAAGCUGCAAGGGCGUAUAAUGCUGAGGCACGUAGAAUUCGCGGCAAGAAAGCGGAGGUUCUUGGGCCAAUGUUGUGACUUAUGCCUGAGUUUCUCUUUCUCUCUGUAGAUUGAAUAGGUGUGUCUUUAGGUGUGGGUGUUGGAUUUUUCGUUUCUUAGGUUUCUGUAGAUUCACGGUAGAGGCAUGAAAAAUUAAGAGAGAACCAACAUAAAUUUUCGUGUCGAUUCCCAUAGACGGUGCCAAAUGUUGAUGCACAAAACUGGAGGGUCUUGGAACAACGUAAAUCCGACGGUGAAUCUGCAAGAAAAUAAAGAACACAAGAUGUAUCGUGGUUCACCCCAAUGUUUGGGCUACGUUCACACUGAUGUUGAUAUUGUUUCACUCUGAAUGGUGAAUAUACAAGAAGGCUAGAGGCAGUGUGCUCUCUAGCCUAUUUUCUGUGUUUGCCCUCUCUGAGAUGUUUUCUCUCUUCCCAUGGCCUAAACCUUGACCUCUCUAAUGAGAAGAGUGGGGAGUCCCUUUAUAGAAUAAGAGCUCAUCACUUAUUAUAUAUUUGCCCCUUUAUUUAUUACAUGAUUAUAUUUGAGUCCCCCAAAUAUUUAUACAAGGUCUAAAUACGGAUGCUCUAAAUAUGGUACAAACUAAUAUAAUUGGUGGAAAUUCUUUUUUUCUUUACAGUGCUUCUUUAAUUGUAUAAUUACAUAUGUUGUACAAUCUCGUGUUUCAGGCACACUGAUAAAUACCCCCUUUUGAACAACUACUAAUUUUCCAUUUGACUUAACUAAAUUCAGAUAUAAUUUUUCUCUCAUUACUUGGUGGCGUGUUGGAGAAAGUAUGAAUAACAAUCGUAUUCUUUCGUUAGCAAAACAAAGAAAAACCAAAAGUGUUUAUGGUCAUGAACAAUGAUUAGGGACAUGCCAUCUUUUGUCUUUCAACACAAAAAUUAAAAAGACGUACGUGUACUAACGUUAACGUAGUAAGGUUUGAUUUGAGAUUUUGAGAGAUUAGUGGAUUUAUAAAUCUAUUAAUUUUGAUAGAGUUUAAUUAAUUUUUAAAGAUUUCAUGUAAAAUUUUGAGUGAAUUAUCUUGAAUUCUCUCAAAUUCUUCAAUUGGUUUUUAUUUUUUAUGUAUACAUAGGUAUGUAGAUAAGCAGCAGUAAGUAAUAGAAGAAUAAUAACUUUGAUUUCAAGGGUUUGUAGCACCAAUAAUCCCCAAGAUUUCAUAAGCAGGAAUUGAUUAUUUUGAAGAUGGUUUUGCACUAUAGUAUAAGAACUCAAUAAACACAUAGAAUAACUAACAUCAUUCAUUUGACUGACCUCUUGUUCCAACCACCAGAUUUAAGAUUGAAUGAGUAGUAGAACAUUCAUGAAUACUGAUUUUAGGUAUUUAUUUUCUAGAUGGGUGUAAAAAUAAAUUUACAUGUUUAAUUGAGUUUGUGAGAACAGUUUUAGGUAGUAAAUUUGGGCUUAAAGAGAUAAUAAUAGUUUAAUUAAAAACAACACGGGUACAGAGAAUAAAUUGAGUGCAGAAAGAGAUUCUAUAGAAAUAUUUUUGGCUCAGCACCUUCAAGUGAUGGUAAUGUUCACCAUCCUAUUUAUCAUUGUUAGAUGAGUUUAUAUUUCGAGAUAUGUAUAGUGGAUAAACAUAAAUAUCAAAAUAUAAACUCAUCUAUCGGUAAUAAAUAAGAUGUUGAGUAUUACCAUCACCUCGUGAACAAAAUACACCUAAUUACACGGAUUCAAAUCAAUUUAUCAUCUCAAAAUCCGAAUUGAAUAUAUAGAAAAACUCUUUUCAGAAAAAUUGACAAGUCCUCUCCUCUCAUGCCAUCUCCAAUGGAAAGUACCAAAGGUCUAAAAGCCAAAAUAUGACUUGAUUUGCCCAAAAAUCCAUCUUUAAUGGAUGGCUGAGCUAUAAUUCUAAGAGAUGUCAUGUUGGCCAAGUAUAGCCCCCUCUUAGCCCAUUUUUUUGGAGCCCAGCUCCCCUACUGCAAUAAUUAAUUCAAAGUCAACGGUUAUAUUUGAAACAUCCAAGGUAGUUUAAUUAAAUUAAACAAAAUUUAAAGUAUAACCUUAAAAUUAAUAAAUUAUUGAGGUGCUUAGCCCCUUUAAUUAGAUAUAGUAUAUGAGCAUAGUUUAACAUUAUUGAUUUAAAAGGGUAAAUCUCAGUUUACUACCCUCAAGUUUUGUGGUUUUCAACAUUUUAAUACAUGAAGUUUUUUUCAUCACAGAGUCAUACAUAAAGUGUUAAUUUUGGGACAGUCUCAUACAUCCAUUAGCCUGGCUGUUAAGUUUUCCGUUAAUUGAUAACGUGACGCCCAUGUGGACAAUGAAUGGGUGCCACGUGUCACUAAAAAUAUUAAAAUAUUAAAAUAAUUAAUUAAAAAAACUAUAUAUAUAUAUAUAAUUGUCACGCCCCAGACCCGCGAAUAAAGUGUCAUAGCCUGUCUCGAGGAUUAAUUGUCGUGGUUGUGAAAAGACAAAUUUACCCUUGAGCGUUGGAUGUGUUUUGUGUUUUGGACUUAGAAAUUGGGUCAAUUGAUUCUAUUCCUAACUAAUUGGACCCAAUUAGAAUUAAAAGAUUAAAGAAUUGUGAUUGGUGUGCUGUUUGGACCACACAGAUCCAUACUUUUCUCUCUCUCACUCCCCCGUGUUCUCUCUCUUUUCUCUCUCAGUUUCACUCUCUCUCUCUUGGCAUUGUGUACGGACAACACCAAAACCUUUGCAAACGUGAUGGAACGAAGUGGAUAAUGGCACCAUUGUGUUCGUGAAGCUCAGACGAACACAUCCAUACCAUUUUUAGGUAAGGACAGCUUCGUUUUCACGUGAAAACCCUAACCCCGAAUAAGGUAUUGUUCAUGCAAAAACUUAUGGCUUGUUUUUAUGGAAUUUGAAGCUUAUAGGAAGCUUUGUGAGGUCCCUAGGAGGCUAGGGAUAGUUCGUUUGAGGAUUUUGGACGUCGGAAAGUGGAGAUCAACACAUUUUAAAUUUGGCCGGAAAGUCGAGGUAAUUUUCAACGUGUUCUCGUGAAUUUCAAGGACCCAAAUUGUUAUAUUGUGUUUCUACUUGUCCUUAGCUUCAUUUUGGUACCAAUUUUAUGAAAAAUGGUUAAGAAACGAGUGAGAAUAGUGGAUUUAAAGUUUUACCCAGUUUUCCGACGACCGGCAACUCGCUGGAGAAGAUGACGGCAUAUUCCGUCAGUUUGGAUAGAAUAUGCUGACGUCGUCAGUCAAAUGUAACGGAAUCUGUUAGGUUUAACGGAAUAUUCCCUAACGGUGGUUAGGGAAUCCGUCAGGUUUGGGCCGCGAGUGGGGGCACGUUUUGCCGUGCCCUUGCCGGUGCGUGGCGGCGCGUGGGAGGUCCAAAAAUAAUUCUAAAAAUAUGGGGAUGAUCCUGAGGUUGUGUAGAUCACUAUGGUAUAUUCAUAUACGUAUUUUGAGCAAUGUAUGAGAAGUUAUUGGCUAGUUUUGCCUAUGUGCUUUAAAAUAACGUUUUUAUAGUUAAUUCGCAUAUAAGUGAGACUUAUCCUGAGGACGAGCGUAUCCACGAGCGACUCGAGGGCUACGACCCUUCGACAUAUCAGUGAGUGUGCUUUUGUUUUCUGUAUAUAUUUAUAUACUUGAUAUAUUUCCCAGAAAUGCAUUUUUAAGGAAAUUAUGCUUUGAAAUAAUAUGCCAAAUGCUUCUAUAUUCUGAAUAUGCAUUGCAUGGUUGCAUAUAUAUAUAAAUGUGGUGUUGUGGAGGCACAGGUGAGUUCAGGUAAGUUAUGUUUGGUUGUGUGAAUCAUCGAUGAUGUGAUAUGUGAUAUGUGAUUAAGUAAUGUUGAACUCAUAAAGCUGCACCUAGGGUGAUUGUGAAUUAGCCAGAGAUAUGAGAUACAAGCCUGUUUAUUUACGUCACCUCUCGCACUAUAUGCUCAUAUUGGAUCCAACUUAAGUGCACAGUCUUGUCGUACAUACCUUAUUCAUGGUUCCGACUUGUAGGUGACUAGCGAUUCAUUGCCCGGCUAUUAUGAGAGAAUAGAAUUAAGCAUAAUUAUAUUUCACCCAAUCUUGUCGUACAAACCCUCUUUAGUGGUUCUGACUUAUGUGCAAUAUAUUGCCGUAUAGGUCAUUGUAGUGACUCCGGCUAGAUUGACUUUUGAGCUAUGAAUUCAACCUUACAGACUACCUCAGGGGUUCCGGCUAACAUAUCACAUUUCUAUGAAAUCAUUCUUGCCUGGAUUGUUUACUUUGUUAUAUUUUGGCAUGACAUACAUAUGAAUACGAUUAUGUGAAGUAUGAACUGAAUUGAUAUGAUUUCAAAUAUAUUCAUUUAUGUAUAUGCUUAUAUGCUGAUUAUGGGAAAAAUUAUACAUGUUUUACAGCGAGGGGUUAGUAUAUUGAUAAAUGAAAUGAAUUUGUAAAACAUUUGUUUUUGCCCACUCACGUUUUCUGUUUUGCGCUCCUCCAGGUUUUAAGUAAGCUUGCUGUCGGUGGCUCGGGAUCGUCGGCAGUUCUGACCUAUUUGAAUAAUAGUAGGACAUUCCUGGUACUGUAUAACUAGUACUUGUCCUACUGGACUGCACCUAGACUUUAUGCUCUGAUUAGGAGUGUUCACUGUUGUAACUAACUCCUAUCACUUUCGUUUAGUAGUGCACUCUAGUAAUAUGGUUUUUAAUUAUUCGUAUAUUUGCUAUCUUUAUCCCUUCCGCACUGUGCACAUGACUACGUCACUUUCACGUGACGGCCAGCAUGCCUUGACCUCGGUCGAGUUGUGUCAUAAAGACUAUCCACGAGUUAGGGUGUGAGUCAUAUCUUAGCUAUAGAAAUAAAUUCUACAACCAAGAUAUGGGGAAAAUAAAAUAAAAGUAUAACAAUUACACAAUACAUCAUAUAACAAAUCUUACAUAAUAAAAACUUGAGUUUACCACAUAUAAUCUAUUGAAUAAGCAGCGGAAAUAAAAUAUUAGUAUACAAAAUUAAUUCAUAACAAAAGUACCAACUAAAAAUAAUAAUUGAAAUGAGUAGCUCUUGCAAAUACAUAAAACUAGCCUCUCUGCACGCACUAACGUGCGUGCGAGAGGCAUUUUGCAUCACGGGCUCUACGCGCCCCAAAGAUGUGUUGUUUUAGAUAUUAUUACAUUUCUUAAGUGACUAUUUUAUAAAUUGUGGGUGUGUGUCCAUCACAACAAUUUCUUAUUAUUUUCAAUCAUCUAACUUAGUAUUUUUUGCACCCACCCAUUGUAUAGAAAAAAUGAAAUUUAUGAAUUGCACACUAACCAUUCCACUUUUUUUUUUUUGCUUGUUGAUUAUUACAGUAUGAACAACAUGAAGGUUGGACCCAAUAAGUGAAAUAAAAGGAAAAACACAAAAUGGAGAACAUAAUAAAUCUCUCCCUCUCUCUCUCAUGCAAAAUGUCAAAUAUCUACCCAAGUCCUUAAAUUAAAAAUUUCAGAUUCAUAAGUUUUCAGUCAAAGUUAUAGGCUAGCUAGGGAUGAACUCCUAAUAUAUGAAGCAAAUCAAAAUAUGGACAACAUGUACAUAUGUAAACAUAGUGUCUACGUGCGAAAUCAAAGCCAUGCUUGCUACCCAUUUGCUUGCACUUGAUGCUUUAGAUUUUCAUGGUUAAUCUGCAAGAAAUGAUGAUAAAAUAAGAAGUCUAACUAUAAUGCACAAUCCCAAAUAUAAAGGUUGUAAGCAAUUCAACCUAAAUACCUUUAACUUUGCAAUUUUCUCACGGAAAUACUUUUACUCCAGUUACUUUUAAAAUACUGAAGAUAAAUAAUUUGUCAAGUUUGAGGUAACAAAUUGUAAUCAUGUUUACAAAAUUAAAUAGUAAGAAAUGUUACCUUAAUCUUGUACUUCAACCUUUGUACUUUGAGACGGGUGUGAUGCUUGUAAAACUGACAAAAAAUGCAAUUUUAUUUAUAUUUGAAAAUUGAAUGCAAUUUGAAUUUACAGUAUACUUCCGUAUGAAAAUAAGAGAAUACUUACUGUAUUUAGAAAAGUUGUUUGGUCACUAUUAAUCUUUUUCCUGCACCCAUAAAUUGUUUUUUUUUUAUAAUUCGAGAUAAUUAAUUUGUAGAUUUUCUUUUAAUUUUAUAAUUUGAGAUAAUUAAUUUGUAGAAUGAUAUAGAGAAUGCCAUUAAAAAUAAAUAGGUAAAAAAUGGUGUUGUACCUAAUUUGUUGGACUUUAUUCCAAAUUUGUAUGAUGCGAGGAGUUGUUGAAGAUUUUAAUUCUUCUACAGCAUUUUUCAUGCGCCACCUAUAUUGAAGGUAUAUAUAAUGUUAGAAUUUCUUGUAACAAAUUUAAUAAAGAAUUUAGAAUGCAUACUGCUCAUGCUUCUUCUUUUUCCACUCUUUGAGAAUUAGUUGGCUUAGAUCAGUAGCUUUUACUCCGACAGAUAUCUCCCAACCAGGUGUAAAAAUAGAGACACGUCUGUUUGGGAUCAUAUCAAUAGGCAGUUCCUUUUCCAUUUUUUGUGGGAAUUCUUGUAAAUAUCCUGAGAAUGAAAACAAAUAUUUUUUUUUUAAUUUCCAUAGCACAUGUAUAGCACAUUAAGAUAAUCAAAAUUGAAACUCAUAAUCUGAGCAAAAUUUUAAAAACGCACAAUGAAAAUUUCAAAGAAAGAAGUUUAAAAAAUUAAAAUUGACUUAGAAAUACUAAAUACAAACUCAUAUAUACAUCAUGAAAGAUGCAGUAGAGCGCAUCAAAUUCAUCACCUAAAAGAUGGAUGGAAAAAAAAACUUAAAAACUGAAAGGGUAAAUUUAGAUUUAUAUUUACCCAAAGAGAAAGAAAACAUUUGUGAUUGGAGAGAUUGGGAUGCAAGCAUGUGAUAUGGUUGUCCCACUGCAAUAAAAAUUCAAUCACAAAAUUGUUAAAGGUGUGUCCUUUUUACCCCAUAAUUCAUAGAGUAAAACAACAUAUAAUCCAAAAUUCGAAAGCCUGCAGAAGACCUGCAGAUGUUGCUAUAAAAAAAAACAAAAAAGACGGACAGCCAUACAGAGAGAGAGAGAGAGAGAGAGAGACUGCAUAAAAAGAAAACUGAAGGACUUGAAUUAAGGACUCGAAUUUUUUUUAUUAGCAAUCAUCACAAACCCCGACAGAAAAAGGAAACUGAAGGACUUCUGCUCUUCCACCGCAAGAUAUAAAUUGGGGAAAAAAACAAAGGAACAAAUAUAAGUUGGAAAGAGUACAAGGCAAGAAAUAAUGAAGAGAAAAUAUCUGGAAGGCAGUGGAAGAGCGGAAGUAGGAUUGCAGUGCCUUGCCAAAACUGGAAGAAUUUCACAACAGUUCUUUCUACUUGAAAGAAUUUCAAACGCCCUCCUGCAAAUACAUGGUUUGUUACAUUUAGGAUUUAAUCAUGAGAUUAGUGAAGAGGCCGAAGUGGAAAUGGAGAAGGAGGAGGAGCUCUAGAUUGCAAGCUGGAGACUUCCAUACCUCAAACCGAAUGCGGCGUGCUGUCUAGUAGUCCAAACCUUGAUUCACAAACACCUAAUAGGCAAGAUCCGGCGAAAAUGUAUGCCUUAGCCUUUAACGUCAUUGUUUGUUCUUUAAAUUUUAUUAUUACUUGUCUAAUUAUUUGCAUCAUAAAAUGCGGGAAAAUUGAAAAAAAAUGUAGGAAAAUGUAAGAAAAAUAUCAAAAAUCUUCAUAGAAUUGUGCUAAUAUACUUCCAUGUAUGUGUACGAGUGAUUUUCUUACCGAUUUGUGUAGAUUCUUAGCAUGCAAAUGGGUGAAACUGAAACAUGUAGAGAAAUAGUAGGGAAAGAAGAACAGAGAAUAUGGAGUGGUAGGAAGCGGUCAGAAAACAGAAAGAAAAGAGUUGUAUGUGGAAUUGUGGGAGGGUGCAAAUGAUUUUCUUACCGAUUUGUGUAGUUCUUAGCAUUCAAAUGGGUGAAACUGAAACCUGUAGAGAAAGAGUAGGGAAAGAAGAACAGAGAAUACGGAGUGGUAGGCAGCGGUCAGAAAACAGAAAGAAAAGAGUUGGACGUGGAAUUGUGGCAGGUUACAGAGGUUUGUGUGAGGAAGAAGUUUGAUCAGAAAAUGGGGGAAUAGAAGAUAGACGUGGGUGGGUGGGUUGGUUUCCGCUGCGAAUUAGUGAGUUUGAAAACUGUACGAAAACUGCUAUGCAGUUUGAAAACUGAACCUGCUAAUCCAGCGACGAUUCCGAGAAAGCCGCGGCGCGGGCGCAGGAGCGAAGCGGCGGCGGUUGAAGAUUAUGUAUCCAACACCAUGGCAAACUCUAAUUAUUCUCCAGCCUUUCCCCACGUUUGAAAUUCUUUUUUUUUCCUUGUUUUUGUCAAAUUUUUAUUCUGUUUUAUUUACACAAAUGCCCAUGAAACAUUUAGUUUCAUAAUUUACUUCAGUUUUAAUUUUUUUGUUUCAAGGGCUUUUGUGUCCAGCUUUUUUUGGUGAAGCCUUAAGACACCAAAACAGACUUCUGGCAUUCUAUUAGUAGAGAUGUAUGCUAUGAGAUGCAUGAAUGUACUCACUCCCUUCUAAUCUUGUCAACACAUACCUAAGGCACCCAAGCCUGCACAUCCCAUACGAUGCUUAUACCACUUGGCUCCGAGUAUGUUAGAUUAUGAGUUAACUCCCGUUCAUCCCUUAACUCAUUUUUUGUAAUUAAACUCUCAGUUUCCACUUUAUUAAACAGGCACUUCCCCUGACGCCCAAAUGUAUAUUCAAGCCAUGCACCCUACGCCUGACAUAUACAAGAUUCAUUAUUAUUCAAAGCAAACUUCAGCUCUUGAAUAUCCUCACAACGCAAACACUUUACAAACUCAACACAACUAUUUUUCUUGCUUUGCAAUGCAUAUGUAUAUGUCAUGUGCACAUAGAUAUCAAUACUCACACUUUAUCUUACAAGCCUGCAAGCUUCAACAUGAAACAAAUUGAUUAGUAACAAGAGUAAUAUAAUCAUAAUAUUAAUAACAAAUUAAUAAUUUAUAAUCCAUCAUAUAGAGUCUUGCUCGUUGACCACUCCAUAUAUGUUUUUCCAACGUCUCAUCCAUCUUGGUUGGGCAACCUGUUUUUAUUAGAAAAGAAUAGACAUCCAUGUUUGAGAAAAUAAUUUUUAGAGUGAAAUAUAUGUCUCAAAGGCCACAAGGCAUGGAAUCAUGUUUCUAGCUUUUCCCUUUCCAAACAUCAUCUUUCAUUUUUAUUUUAGGCCACCACUUCUACUUCUUCAUCUUUAAUAUAGCUGAAACUAUCAGCUGUUCGACCUGGGAUUUAAGUCAGCACAUAGAUUAGAUUGUCAUGGUUUUUGGAUAUGUUAUAGAGGAGAUGAUAAGGAACAACUUUUGUGAAGGAAGUGCUUCGAUCGGAGCUCUUAAAAAUGGGGUUUUUGUGCUCAUAACAUGGCUGUCCAGUUUUCUGCGUGAUUAGAGACAUGAGUUGGUAUUUCAGACGUAUUGGACGAUCACAGCGUUGUAUGUUUCUGAAAUUUUGAUAUAUCAUGGUAGAGAGAUAGACGAACAACUCUUAUGAAGGAAGUAUUAUAAUAUAAUAUGGAUGAUAGUAUUUUGACCUGUUAAAUAAGCUGGACGAAUUUCUAGUUUUGGAUAUCUUUCUUUUGAUAGAUGAAAAUGAUAGUAGUUUGAUGGAGAGAUUUGUUGGGUAAGAUCUCAUGUAUUUUUCUGGGAUUUGUCUCACACUUCUUGCACAUCAUUCUCAAGGGAAAUAAAUGAAGAUUUUUUAUAGUUUGAUGGAAGUGCUUCUCAUGGAAAAGAUCUCAAAAUGUAAAUGCAUAAACACACAAGAUUUAAGUGGUUCGCCAAAUCGACUAAAUCCACUGGGGUUUGCUUUCAUUGUAUUUCACUAUAUAUAUGAGGAACUUACAAACACAAUGAAAGAUGGCAUAAAGCCUUCAAGAAAGAUAAAGAGAUACUAUUAAAGAAGGAUGACUUUUUGUUGGAGUUGAUCUCUUCUUCUUUUUUCUUCUUUUUUCUUCUCUCUUCUCUCCAUUCUUCCUCUAUGUCCUUCCGUUGUUUCUUUUCUCCUUCCAUUAUGUAGAUUGCAUGACAUCUUCUUCUCCAAAGAAUCUCCACAAGUGUGCCAAUGGAAAGAAAGCAAGUGUAGUGCCAAUCAUUAAACAUAAAAUGUGUUCUAAUAGAAACACACCAAAUGUUAACCUAAUCAUCACCAUGAAAUGUGUUCCAAUCACAAGGCAACAAGUGUUGUCCUAAUCCUUAGCAAUGAAAUGUGUUCUGUUGAUACACAAAACCGGAGGUCUUGGAACAACGUAAAUCCGAUCGUGAAUCUGCAAGAAAUGUAAAUAACACAAGAUGUAUCAUGGUUCACCCCAAGGUUUGGGCUACGUCCACACUGAUUAUGUAUUUCUCUGUUUGUGAGGGAGAGAGAUUCAGAGCCUCUGAGGGAGAGAGUGAGGUCUCUGAUGGCCUAUGAAUUGGCCUCCCCUAAUUGUGAGGGUGAGGAGUCCUUUUAUAGAAUAAUGACUCAUCACUUAUUACAUAUUUGCCCCUUCCUUUAUUACAUAAUUACAUUUAAGUCCCCCGAGUAUUUGUACGAGAUCUAAAUACGGAAGCCUUAAGUAUGGUAUAAAAAGUAGUCCCCCAAGUCUUUAGUCAAGAGAGUCUUUUGGCUGGAGACUUGAAAUUCAGUCCAUGUGUGGGCCGAAGUAACUAGAUGUCGUCUAGAGCUGAAUACUCGAUAUGAGGUGGCGCUCAAUGUGAAAUGAGGCUCAACUAGAAGUGGCAUAUGUUGCGAGGCUGCUCGGCUUGUGGCUUAUGUUGCCUUGGUUGGCUCGGCUUGUGACGUUGAAGGUGAGGAAGUCCCUUUUAUAGAAUAAGGGCUCACUCCUUAAUACAUAAAUGAUGGGCUAGAGUUGAUGCUCGCGACGAGGCGGUUGCUCAGCAGGCGGCGAUGCUCUCUAAUAAUGGUGAGGGAGUCCUUUUUAUAAACUAAGGGCUCGCUCCUUAAUACAUAAGUGAUGAGUUAGGAGUGAUGCUCGCAGCGAGGCGGUUGCUCAGCAGGUGGCGAUGCUUUCUAAUGAAGGUAAGGGAGUCCCUUUUAUAAACUAAGGGCUCGCUCCUCAAUACAUAAGUGAUGGGUGCUCUCUAAUGAAAGUGAGGGAGUCUCUUUUAUAAACUAAGGGCUCACUCCUCAAUACAUAAGUGAUGGGCUAAGUCCCUUAAGUAUUUUUCAUGAGGCCCAGUUGAGGCCCAAUAUAUGGUACAUAAUGUAGUCCCCCAAGUCUUCGGUCAAUAGAGUCUGUUGGCUGGAGACUUCAAAUUGAAUCCAUGUAUGGGCCAAAGUGGCAGUUGUUCUGAGGCGAUAUUUGUAUACCCUGCACUGAAGCUUUGUAGGUGAAGCUUUGUAAGUGAAGCUUUGAAGCUAGAGCUUUGUAAAUGAAGCUUUUUGAAGCUAGAGCUCUGUAAAUGAAGCUUUUGAAGCUAGAGCUUUUGUAAAUGAAGUUUUUGAAGCUAGAGCUUUGUAAAUGAAGCUUUUGAAGCUGAUUGGCAUGAGUGAUGCUCAUAAAUGUUUAUGUUGAUUGACAUGAGUCAUGCUCAUGGAUGUUGUCAUGAGUGAUGCUCAUGAAUGUUUAUAUAUGAUUGACAUGAGUAGUGCUCAUGUAUAAUUUUGAAGUACUGGGCGUACUUUUGAUCACCUGGUUGGUGGUAAUAGCGGCAGGUUGCCGAAUAAUUUUGAAGUACUGGGCGUACUUUUGAUCACCUGGUUGGUGGUAAUAGCAGCAGGUCGCUGAAUAAUUGUGGAGUACUGGGCGUACUUUUGAUCGCCUGGUUUGAGCUAUUUUGGGCUUAUGGGCCUUCGUCCCUCUACACAACAUUCCAGCCCAUUUAUUUUGGGCUUUGCCGUUUUUUUUUUUUUUACUACUACCCUCUGAUGGGGUUUAUACAGAUGUCUCUGAAAGAUAAAAAUAAUAAUUUACACCAUUCAGAAAUAAGAAAAGUAAAUCACAUCAUUCUGGUCGGAUGUUUAUUCCUUGCUUUUGCUUUCUGCUUUCCGUCGCACUCUCUCUAUCUCUUCCCUUGGUAGACAAAAGGAAUCAUAAUAAUAAGAACCUUAUAAUUUUUCCCCUUUUCUUCUUUUCUCUUUUCCUUUUUUGCUUUACUUUUGCUUUUACUUUGUAGAUUGUAGAUUGCAAUCACAGAGUCUUCACAUCCUCACGGUAUCUUUACAGACGAACAGGUGGGUCAGAAACUGAGCGGUGGACCACCUCUUGCCAGACUCAUUUUGCAAGCAACACUCCAUGAAGCUCUAAGACUCCUCAGACCCCCUUUCCGGCAAGGUGGGUGGCUCUCCAAAACAUAUGGCACACAUGAGAGCACCAGACCGCGAAGUGUAGAGAGAUGUGCAUUGAUUCUCUCUUGUAGGCGAAAUGAUCGAAAGCCCAAGUUGGCUGGAAAAGCUCAUCAAAUUUUGCUGAGCUGACCAAACCUAGCAAUGCAAGACCCGCAAAAGCACUUAGAAAAAAAACCAUUAUUCCAAAAGCUGAACCAGCCAUGGAACCAGAAGAAGAGAGUUAUGUCGGUUCCAUUUGAGAGCCAUAGCUAUUCUGCUUCUGAGCUUCUUCAAGUCUCGGAUCCACAUGCAUGUAGUCCAGAUCUAGAUACGGAUCUAUUUCCUGGAACCAGUGCUGCAGCUGUUCUGCUUCUGACGUGACGUGAGCCUUGCAGCUGUUUAGCAUCGUCGGCCUUGCAGGUGACGUGAGUUGGAGCUUGCUCACAGAUCUCGCAGAGCCAAACACGUGGAUCUUAGAGUCGUAAUUGACGUAUAGAAAUGAGGAGUCGUGUUCCGAGUUGACUCGGUUGGUGUGUUAAAUUACCUUAACACACAAAUUAAACCCUCUUUUUAUCAAAUGUAGUAAAGUAUGUAAGUAGGGAUCGUUCUAGGCCGGGGAUUAGGAGGGAUUGCUAAAUCACUUGGAAACUGACUUGAAAACGUAAAAACAAAGUUUAAAACACUAAACUAGACUCAAAGAAUGCAAAACUAUACUUUAAAAUACUAAGAUAAACAAAAAGAUUCAAAACAGCAAAUAAACACUCAAAACUGCCUUAAAAACACUUUCUGGGUAGUUUUGAACAUAUAACACAAACUUGGACGAAUUUUGGUUUUCUAAUGGACUAAAACACUUAAAAACAUAAUCUAAGACAAGUUCUAAUUAAUAUGACUCAAAGAAAUAAGAUGGGGUUGAUUUUGGACGAAAAUAAUUAAAUUAAGACAAGAACAAAGUAAACAGAUUCUUAGACAAAUUUGGGUGAAUCAAAACAGAUUGUAAAUGAAUUUGAAUUUAACUUAUGGAUGGAAGGCUAGCUAGGAGGUUCUUCUCCACACAUGUCACACUUGCAUACAAAACGAUUUCCAAUUGCUUUUCGAUAAACUAUGAAUACUCAACGCCCCAAAUUAACCGUGAAUUGCACUAAUUAACCCUCAGUUUUUCCACAAGUUAUUAGGUUGGAUGAUUGCAUACGACAACCCAAAACAUUCCCUACAAGUUCCCUACAUGAAUUGCAUAAUAGAGAUACAAGCAAGAAUCAUUAAGUUCUAUGAAAAACAUAAGCAUUGACGAGGCACUUGUUACAAUGAUUUGCAUGAAACUUAUGCCAAGAAUUUACUUAACGUGAUUGUGACUAGCAACCUUCACUACUUGUGAAUAUAAGUUCAUAACGAUUAGGUGAAACUCUCUUAUAUUCUAGCGUCAAAUUCAUGCAUGAAAAUUAAGCGUGCACUCUCAAACAACAUACACAAAUCAGUUUUUAUAUGAACGGAUAAGUAAAUUGAAUUCACAACUUAUGAAUCACAACUGGAUGUAAUCAAAUCAUAUUGCAAGCAUGAACAUAGUUUCGAAUUCACCCCCUAACUAAGAGGGGUUUAGUUCCUUAUACUUACAAAGCAAAGAUGCAUAAAUUUAGACAUUAAAAAAAAAGAUAGAAAACACCUAGAAACGCUCCAACACUCCCAAGGCUUGGGCAUAGGCACGGCACAAGAUGUUCCUUCUCUUUCCUUCCUUGCAAGCAGCGGCACUAGAGGUUUUAGACGGUUUUGGGUGGUUUUUAUGGUGUAGAAUGGAUGGGGAAUGGUAUGGAAAGGUUUAGGAUUGAUGGGUGGUGUGGCUAGGGGUGGUUUUUGGCUGAAAUUAGAGAGAAUGGUGGUGGGAAGUUUCGGCUAAGAUGGAUCAAAAUCUGUUUUGUUGAUGAAUAUGGGAGGUGGUAUUUAUAGGCUUGAGAAAGGACCAGUCAAUUUCCUUUGCAUGUGCAGCUUGUGUGGGUGUGUGUUGUCAUGUUUCCCCUUUACAUUUACACACACAUGCUUCAUCAUUUCAACCACCAAACACACACAUUUUCUGCCAUGUUUUCCUUUACAUUUACACACACAUGCUUCAUCAUUUCAACCACAAAACACACACAAUUCCUACCCAUGUGUGUGUGUUUCCUUUGCCCAUGUGUGUGUGUUUCCUUUGCCCGUGUGUUGCCUUUCUCUUUUUAUUAGCCAAAACUGCUUAGCCCUUUUCUGACCUUUCAAUGUUACAAUGCCCAUAACCUCUUCUAGAAAAAUGAGAUUAACAAUCCGUAAAUUGCUCCAGAAAAUAGACAUCCGUAGGUUUCCACGCAUAUAAGGCUCAUUCUCUCAUUCAUUCUGAGCUAUUUGUAACAUGCUUCCAAAGUCAGAUAAUCUGUACAGGCAGUUUUGACGAAUUUGUUACUUAAUAAUUCACUUGUGCUACUUUUCUUUUCUUUGCUUGAUAAAUCACACAAAACACAAAAACAUAGUAAAUAGCUCAAAAAUAUAAGGAACUAACUAAGAAAAGACAAGUGAAUUUUAUGUAAAAUAUAUAUAAAUAUGAGCUUAUCAUCGGUGAAGGAAUCGGACCAAGGCAUUGUUAUCUCCGAUAGCUUUUUUUUUUUUUUUUUUUUUUUUACUAAGACACUCAGAGGUAUCUUGUGUUGUUGAAAACAGUGCAUGGAAAUCAGCUCGCAUGGAAGGAUCAGUACAAGCAGUGGGAGAUGCCAUUGUGGCUUUUGAAAAAAAAAAUCACUGGUUUCAGCCUUGACACUUCCCUCCUGAAUCAGCUGGAUGGCAAGCUUUGAUGCCUUACUGAAUUUCGCAGGAGUCUUUAUAUGUGAUGCUAUCUUCUGCAGCCUCUUUCACCCGUUGCUCUGAGGCAUCCAUCGUGGUUUUAAAUAUCAACCUUUUCUUUUCCGACAGAGUUUCUUUUGGGAUUGAUUCGACAAGCUUCAGCCGUUUGAGGGCGGAUUUGAGACUUGGUUUUGGGGCAACUACAGGAGGAGCAGGAGAUAGAUAUACGAAGAAGAGGGGAUGUCAACUCUAGUGGCGUCAAAGACGGAGAAGUUGAGUCGGGUUAGGGUCUUUUUCUUGAGCUUGAAUAUCGCGACUGGGGAGGAGGAAAGGGAUAAGAGUAGCAGGAUCAAUCUUAUUCAUCAAGUUAACGUCAGGGAAGGGCGUCGGCUCUUCAAACGAGGGCAUAUAAAAUGGACCCUCAAAUUCUAAGGCGCUAGGAGAAUAAGGUUGUUGAAGGUUAAACAACAGCGUCUACUGCUGUUGCUGCUGAAACGUUGACGAUGGCGUUCCCAAGGCUGGGGUCGACGAUGGCAACCCGAAGGCUGUAGUUGACGAAGGCGUCUCGUAUGGGGACGACGAAGAUUGAUCUUCGAACCUCGUAUCUCGCUGUUGAAUGUAGAGAGGGAGAGUGGUGUAGCUCAAGUUCUCAGUUGUUUGACGUCUUGGGGUUUUGAAGUAAAAACCUUCGAGGCAGCUGAACAGGUGUAUCCUUCUAUGCUCGGAACUUGAGCUUGUGCAUGGCGGGGUAGGUGUUGGCAACUGAGAAAGAAGAAGCAGAGCAGGGCGGAGGAGACCUUCAGAGUUUUGGUUCUCAUAUUUUUUGCUUUUUGGCUUGCUGGGUUUUUGCAGAUUCACGGCGGAGGUGAAAAAAUGAAAGAGAACCGACACAACUUUUCGUAUCGAUUCCCAUAGACGGCGCCAAAUGUUGAUACACAAAACCGGAGGUCUUGGAACAACGUAAAUCCGACCGUGAAUUUGCAAGAAAUGUAAAUAACACUAGAUGUAUCGUGGUUCACCCCAAGGUUUGGGCUACGUCCACACUGAUUAUGUAUUUCUCUGUUUGUGAGGGAGAGAGAUUCAGGGCCUCUAAGGGAGAAAGUGAGGUGUCUGAUGGCCUAGGAAUUGGCAACCCCUAAUUGUGAGGGUGAUGAGUCAUUUUAUAGAAUAAGGGCUCCUCACUUAUUACAUAUUUGCCCCUUCCUUUAUUACAUAAUUACAUUUAAGUCCCCUGAGUAUUUGUACGAGAUCUAAAUACGGAGGCCCUAAGUAUGGUAUAAACAUGUUCCAAUGGAAAAACAACAAGUGUUAGAUUAAUCAUGAAUUAGUGAAUAUCAUGCCCAAAGGCCACGUCCAAACAAUUUGGGGAAUGAAUCCUUACUAAUUAUCAACCAUGAUAUGUGGUUCAAUAGCAAAACAACAAAUGUGAAGUUAAUCAAUAUCAUGCAAGGUGAACAAACACUCAAAAGCCACGUUCAAAGUCUAAGGGAUAUGCAUCACACCCGUUCUCACCUCAUUGGAAAUUUGGAAUGAUAGAUUGAAGUAUUGAAGAGAGAAUAUAGACAAUUAACUGAAAUUCCCCUAAGCUAGUGAGGAAGCACUCUAAAACAACAACAACAUAUUGCCACAUGCAUGCCAAUACAUACACAUACCUAGUAUAUGGCUCUAUAUAGACUCACACCUCUCCAAUGUUUAGGGGUGAGUAAUCUCUCUACAUUAACUCAACUUGCCAACUCACUCCUACUUGGUAAAAAUAUCAAACCAAACUCAACACUUAGCCACACGUAUAAGCCAAAGGCUUCCCACCUCCACACCCUAAUUAUUAGCUUCUAUUAAUUACCAACUUCCACCUUAACCUAUCUAGAGUGGUGACGACUCCUCUUUAUUCUCUAAUGGUUGGCAGAACUCUACUUAGCUUUGUGAGAAAACAAAGCCAAACUCAUGCACUUAGACACAUGCACAUAUGCUAUAUAGACUUCCACUCCACAUUUAGAGUGGUGAGUAAUUACCAAAUCAUUAACUCCUAUUGUUACAAACUCUCCACCUCAUCUUUGAGAGAAAAUAACAAAACAAAACUACUCAUUUAGUCCAACCUCAAACUCUCGGCCUUUUGUGAGGAAAAUCAAACCAAACUCAUUUAAUCUCUCUUAUCCAAUUCAAACUAAAAAUAUCUCUAAUUACAUAUGAAAAUGAAAUAGCUAGUUUUUGAAAUACUUUGUAGGAAAAAGGAUUUUACAUUGAAACUAUUUUACAUACCGAAAAUAGGUUCUUGCAUAAAAAUAAAUCAAAUAAAAUCAUUACAUAAAAAUAAUUACCCAACAUACACCCAUAUAUAUAUAUAACCAUUUUUUUUAAAUACGGGGUAUUACAAAAAUAAAUAAAUAAAACAAAAACAAGAAAAAAACCCAGAAACCCACCAACCUCCGUCUCCUUCACUCCCCCUUCGUCUUCCCCAACCGACAUCCCUCCAUGCCCUCCACCCCUCUAUCAUUGUGAAACCCUCAUAACCACCACUGUGAACCCCUCACUCCACCGUGAAUCUGCACAAAACCCAAGAACCAAAACCUCCAUCUUUGUCUUUACCAUGAAACCCUAACAACUGCAUCCUCCAUUUGAGAAAAAAAUAUAAAGGUCUUAUCUUCUUCGUGGGUUUCUUCCAGGCAGUGGGUGAUAUGUGGCAGUUUCAGAGAAAUGCCUUCGGCCAAUUUUCAGUGUCAGCGUCUCUCGGGUUGAGUGGGGAUGGCAGUUUGGGUCCCCCGAUUCGACUAAUGGUAACGACAUUUUGAGUAGACGAAGGGAACCCCGUCAAUCACGAUAGCAGCAACCUCGACCUCGGUCAGAUGACGGCGGCUCGCCUUGAUUGCAAAUUCGAGGCUCCAUUGGACUAUGUGGACCAGGAAUUUAAGGAAUGGACGCUCAGACGUCUCAGAUUUGAUGAAAAAGGUAGAGAUUCAAAGAUGGUUGUGAGAUCCAAGAUUGAGGGUUUUCGUUGGUUUUGAAGAAAUUAGGGAAAUCAGAAGAGUUGUUUAGGUUUUUUGCGAAAUGGAGGAUGCAACUGUUAGGGUUUUCUGGUAAAAGACAAAAAGGGAGGUUUUGGGUUCAAGUAAGUCGCCGUCACCACCGCCCACUCCUUCUCCAUUCUCGAGACCUUGUAUCCGCCAUCCGUCGAUUUUUUCUGUCGAGAUUUGACAGACUACAUUACGCCGAUCCUCAAUUUCCACACCAAGGGCUGUUUUGUUGUUUUGAUUUGCAGAGAAGAGAGGGAGGGAGGGAAUUUUAGGGGAAGGGAAGGGGCUGGGUUUUUGGGGAAGGAGAAAAGGCUUGGUGGUAGGGGUGGGUAUCGGGGAAGAGGAAGGAUGUCGGUAGGUGAGGGGGUGGAGGGGUGGAGGGUGGGAAGACAAAUGGGAUUCUGGGUUUUUUUUUCUUGUUUUUUUAUUUUUUUUAUUUUUUAUUAUAUAUAUAUAUAUAUAUAUAGUUUUUUUAAUUAAUUAUUUUAAUAUUUUAUAAUGACACGUGGCGCCCAGACAUUGUCCACAUGGGCGCCACGUCAUCAGUUAACGGAAAACUUAACAGACAGACUAACGGAUGUAUGAGACUGUCCCAAAAUUAACACUUUAGGUAUGACUCUGAGAUGAAAAAACUUCAUGUACUAAAUAUUGAAACCACGAAACUUGAGAGUAGUAAACUGAGAUUUAUCCUAUUUAAAAAUAAUUUUUUGCAAGAUAUAAUACUGGAUGAGACUACUUUUAACUCAUUCGAUUAGAGAUACAUUACUUGACAUGUUAGCCAAGUCUACCCUGAACAACAAACGGGUCAACAAAAUCAGAGGAUAUAAUCGUAAUAAUGAAAAAUGAAUGAUACCCCUCGGGUCCAAAGAAUAUAAUUGAAUUAGGGUUUCACCAACAGAUAUAUAUGGGGCAAAUGAUAAACCCCCAAUUCUCCUCUCUCCUGUAAACCCUAAAUCCCAAUCUGAGCAGCUGAAUCAAAAUCUCAGAGAUGGCGACGGUUCCAGGGCAACUGAUAUGGGAGAUAGUGAAGAAGAACAACUCUUUUCUUGUGAAGGAGUUCGGGAGGAGCCACGCCGGCGUUCGGUUCACCAAGGAGCCCAACAACCUCCUCAAUCUCCACUCCUACAAGCACUCUGGUACAUUUCAUUGCAUCCCAAUUCCAUUUAUUUUCUGUUUGGUUCCCAAGAAAAUUUUGGGGUUUUUCAUUUUUAAUUGAGAAAUGGUUUCAAUUAGGGUUGGCAAACAAGAAAACCGUGACCAUUCAGGGUGUGGGCAAAGAUCAAUCUGUGCUGCUGGCAACAAGUAAGACCAAGAAGCAGAACAAGCCUGCUGCUCUGCUGCAUAAGUCUGUGAUGAAGCAGGAGUUCCGCAGGAUGGCGAAGGCGGUCGGUAAUCAGGUAAAUUGAAGUUUCAAAAUUUGCCUUGCUGAGUAUUUGUUUACUAAGAACUGGAUUGCGAGCUUACUAUGUAGUGAUGAGGCUUAAAAUGCUUGAAGGAUCAUUUCGAAUGGAUUUUUGGAAUGAAAUGAUAUGACUCGUUUAUGGAAUGAAAUGAUAUGACUCAUUACGUUUGCUUCUUAGCAUGCAUUGUGUUAUUGAUUAGAUCGAAUGUGUUUUGUUAAAAUCUUAUAUACAUAUGUAGGAAAAAAGUCGUAUUUCUUUGGGAAAAACCUAAAUUGGGUCUUGUUUCAAGGAUCCGAGUGAUUAAAUUAUUAAGAAGGUACUUGUAGGUUUAUGCUGCAGUGAUGAGCCUUAACAUGUUAGAGGGAUCAUUUAUGGAAUUGUUUCUUCAGUGAAAUCCUCUUGUUAUGCUUGGCUUAUGAGGGUGCAUUAUCUUUUUAAUUCGGUUGGGUUCUCUUCAUUAAGCUUCGUGUAUUUUCUAGGAGAAAUCCGAAAUGGGUUUAUCUCUGGGAUCUGAAUGAUUAUUUUAGUGAGAAGAUACUUGUCGGUUUUUAUGCAGUGAUGACUGAUGAGUCUUAGCAUGUAACAUGGAACAUUUAUAAUGAUUUCUUCUACGAAAUAUUCUUGUUUCGCUCGUUUUUUGAGCAUGCCUAGUUUUUUUUAUCAUGCAUGGGUCUGUCUUUGUUAAUCUUGUGUUUGAAGAUUCAAGGAUCAUCAUGUGUUGUAUUGUAAUGAUUCGAAGAAUCUUUAGUAGCCUUGUCUGGAUGUCUCUUUUGUUAUUCGUCUCUGUUUUUCAUUUUGUGCUCCUCGUCGUUGCAGGUGGCGGAUAACCAUUACAGGCCGGAUCUGAAAAAAGCAGCCCUUGCAAGGUUGAGUGCUGUUCACAAGAGCCUCAAGAUUGCCAAGUCUGGUGUCAAGAAGAGGAACAGGCAAGCUGUUAGAGUCUAUGGCAGGAAAUGAGUAAUGGGGGGGGGGGGUUACUUUUCAUGAUUUUGGAUUGCUCGGGUCGUCUUUCGAAGCUCAGUUGUAUUUGGAUUUUGUGAUUAUAUUCAGUUUGUUUUGCAUAAUUUUCGUGGAUAUCAAAAUUAUGAGUUUGCUGGAUAAUUUUUUUUCAACUAAAUGGAAAGGGAUUACAAGAUUAAUUUUCAUAUUUUGCAAGCACCGCUAUAUUAUGCAUAAACACAACUAGUUUUUUUCUGGAAAAAUUGUAUCCAAUCAAAUGAAUAUAUAGAUAAACAUAAAGUGAUCUGUGAUAAUAUGACAUUACAAUGAACUGCGUCGUUGACGAAAUUAUUUGAAUAAUUUCUUGAAUUUCUAAACGAACGGAUGAAGGCGGAACCAAGUAUCACGAACAUCAGCUGUACAUAUUAUAAGUUGGCUUGGCUUGCUAAAGGUUCCAAUGCACAAACCGCAUGUUCUGCAAAUCUUUGCGGAACUUCCCACCACCAUCAAGAACAUACUCGUCCUCGACGACAAAUCAGGAUGAGCAGCAGGUGGUCUUUUGGGUGACCGGCUGUCCACGCAUGUGCACGGUGGAUGGUUUGUUGGCACUCAUUGGUUGCGUAGCUAUCCUGCAAGCCGAAAGGAAAAGGAAAUGUUACGGAUACUGAAUUAAAAUGCAGAUGUUUCGCUACCAGUCGGAAGUUCUCAGGUUUAAUGUAUAUGAAAAGGUAACAUAGAGAUGAACUCACCUGUUCUUUAUCUCUGCAACCAUAGUCAUGAAUGCCUGCUCUACGUUGGUCGAAUUUUUGGCGCUCGUUUCCAAGAAUGGAAUACCUAGCUCAUCGGCAAAUGCCUUUAAAACCAGGGGGCGGAGGAGAGAAGAAUUUCAACAACAGAGAGUUAGAAGAGAAUUGAAGUUGAUCAGCGAUGCACCGAUGCAUGCUUAUAUAACUCACGACGACAUGACAUCAAUGGAAGAUUAAUUAGUAACUCAAAUAACCUUGCUAGCUUCAGAAGAGACCACUUUCUUGUCAGCCAAGUCACUUUUGUUUCCAACCAAGAGCUUGUUCACAUUUCCAACUGCAAAUUUAUUAAUUUCUUGCAGCCAGGUCUUGACGUUGUUGAAGCUUUCUUGGUCCGUGACAUCAUAGACAAGCUAGCAACAGGAGAAUCCUAUGAAAAGAUUGCAGAACCAAAAAUCUACUUUACGGGAUAGAAAGAGGUGAAUCAACGCUUACAAUAAUGCCAUGGGCACCACGGUAGUAGCUACUUGUAAUUGUUCUGAAACGUUCUUGACCAGCAGUGUCCCACUACGCAGAAGAAAUGGAGAUUUCAUAUUUUCCGGUAAUGAACUUUUGAUUUCAAUCCAAUCCGGCGUUAAUGAUAAAUAUACUUACGAUUUGAAGUUUGACAACCUUCCCGUCCUGCUCCACCGUUCGAAUUUUCUAAACAGAGGAAAUAAAGAGAUGAAAUCACUGCCAUGACAUCAAAAUAACCAGACAUCAGAAAUGUUAUAUUAUGUGACUUUACUUACAAAGUCAACACCAAUGGUACUUAUGUAGCUGUCAAUGUAAGAAUCAUCCUACACAAGUGAGAGUAGAAUCGUCAAUAAAUCUUCAACGAAGCUCACACCCGAUUUAGAUUGCAUUAUGCAGAAGCAGAAAAAGGCUUUCUUGUGGUCAUCAGAAAGUUGUAACAGAAGGCCGAAAGGGUCAGACAUCCCGACUUUAACAAUAUGGCUAAGGUGUAAACAUGAAGUCUAUAGCUCAAGAAACUUAGAUGACUAGCGUACGUGUCACGUGUAACACAUUAUGAUUAAACUUUGGGAACAAAUGCAGCACAUGAUAAGUGAGGUGGUACCGGUGCACCUUGGCUAAUGGUGGCGAGCGAAAUAGCAAACAGAAUACAUAUAUAAAGAGAAGAAUUUUAUACGCAUGUGUGGUAGAAGGGUGGCAAAUAUAUCUUAAGGAAAACACCACCCUAAGUACAACGUUGUUAAACUUUU
rnacentral:lncRNA from 1 species